rnacentral:lncRNA from 1 species
UCUCAAGAUGAAAAUAAUUGUAGUACUAAGACAUCAUCGUUGAGGUUGAGAUUCAAGAAUUCGUGUUUGAGGAAGAAAAAGAGAAUAUACAAAUUGCGCAAUUGGUUCAUUGACUCAAUUUUAUUCAAGAUUGCCUCUCUCUUUGAAGCAAUUGUUAUGGUUUCUACCUUAGCUUUCUUCUUAUUCUCUUAUGGUUUUCGUAUUUGAUUCGUAUUUAUAUUUUUAUAUAUAUUCUCUGUAAACCAAGGGUUCAUUAUUAUUGGACAAAAGUUGAUAUCUAAUAGGGGUAUAAGGUUCAUUUGAUUUAUUAAUUUAGUUUUCUUUAUUGAUAUUCUCAUGUUUAUACACUAGGAUUCCCAUUUUGCCGUUUAGUUUUUCGAUUUAGAUAUUUUCAAUAAAAUACAUAAUUCAAUAAAUAAGUAAAUAACAUAUAUAAUGAGAUUUUAACAUCAAAAUAUGAGAUUUUGAUUGGUAAAUGGUAAGAUUUUCAAGAACUCAAAUUUUUAGCUUAAAUGGAGAUUUUGACCUCCAAGUAGGUCCCUUUUCAAAAUAAUUUUUCACCAAUGAGUUUCUAAAGUUUUGAGUAUUGCUUUCAAGUAUUAAAUUUCGGAUUCAAACUUUUCCUUUUGAAAUUGGGUUUGAGUGAGUUGACCCAUUGUGCUAAGCAAUUGAUGUGGGUAUUGUUGUUUCCGGAAAGUGAUUGUGGAUACUUGCUUGUAUAUUGAUUGAUUUAAGACAAGCGAUCUCCUAAACCUUGUAUUCUAGUAGAAUCGUGUAUUCCCUUUGUUGUUUGUGUAUUGGAAAUAAUGGGGAUGGGGUGAAAGGUUAAUUGUCCACUUGAUAAAUCUUAAUGGAUAGAAAGGGUUGAAAUUGAAAAGGUUAUGUGAUGAACAAGAUGAUGUGAAUUGCCUUGUUGUGACCCUUAUUGAUUGAUUGAUGAAAUGCUUGAUAGCAUAAAUGUGGACUUGAUUUGCAUGAAUUAUUGUCUCUUCCAUGUGGUGUGAUAUUGCGUGUGUGCAUUGAUGGUUGAACACUGUGAUGUGGCAUGUGAUGUUUAUGAUUCUGAGGUCAUCGCCGGUGAGUGCUAUUAUUCCUAGGUCAUUUCCGGCAAGUGUUGUGAUUCCAAAGUCAUUUCCGGCUAGAGGAUUGAUAUAAAACCGAUGGAAAAUGGUUCCGGCUAGAGAUAUGGUACCGAUGCUACUUGAUUCGUUUGAUUGUUGAAUUGUGACUAUUGAACUGUAAUUAUUGAGCCUUGCGAGUUGUGCAUUGUAGAACUGCUAGGUUGGGCUGAUUUCUGUGAAAGUUGUAGUAUGAGGAGGUUCGAUUGGAAUGUAAGGGGUAUUCAAUUUCUAGGUAGAUGCCUUGUUUAUUAGGUUGCACUCCUUAUUUCUACACUUGUGUAGGUUCCGAGCCCGGUUUAGCGUGAUCGUCCUUCUUCUCUUACCUUUUUAGGCUUAUCAAAGGACUAUCGAGAGUAACUUUUGUCAUCCCGGCGGGCCCUCUUUUCCUUUUCUUUAAGCUUUGUUCUAAUUGAGAAUCAAAGAUUGAGAUUUGUACUUAUUUCUUAAUUUCACACUUUAUGUAUUUAGUGGUUUGUACACGUGACAACAAGAUUUUGAGGGUUUUAAUAGAAAAAAUAAGUUUUUCUGUUUUAUCUUGUUCUUGCUUUAUUAUUUUCCGCAUUUCUUUCAUUUUCGUUGGGUUGAGACUAACUUGUCUUGGUGGGAAUAUACAAGUGUCCUCGCGUCUAUGUUUGGGUCGUGACAUCAUCAUAGAGUAGUUCCUUAAAUCAUGAUUCAUACAUGUGUGAGAAAACUAUUGACCAAUCAAGAUUUCUUAAUAUGUGAGAAAACAUUUCACAAUUCAUGCAUAUGUGAGAAAACCUUUCAUCGAUGAUUUUCUUAAAGGCAACCUUAAUUCAUAAAACUUAAGCAUAUAGCAUGAGAGUUGAGUAAUUUGAAGGAAAAAAAUGUGUUUGCAACAAAAGUAGAAAUUCAUAUCUUCCCAAUAAAUUAAAUUAGGAAAAAGGAAUAAAGAAGAAUAAAUUAUAGUGUUGACACUAUACAUCUCAACUUAGGUUAGUACAUAAUUAACACAUUUAAUCAUCGUUUAUAAUGUUUUGAACCUGUUAUUAUCAUUUCAAAGUAUAUAGCCGCUAAUAGUACUUAUUAUUAUUAUUAUUAUCAACAAAUUAAAGAGAGGGUCUCCAUAGGCAGAUUUUUGAUAGAAUUUAUUACUAGCUAAUAUCCCCAAGUUAUUUUUAUUUGUUAAUUUAUUACAUAAGAUAAAUUUAUUUUAUUUUCAAAAUAAAAAUCUCACUUUUUAUGAAAAUUAUUUAUAACUAUAUUCUAGAUAACUUGAUGAUAUAAUAAUUUUUUUAAAAUAUAUAUAUUAAUCUAUGAUAUUACAAGUAAAUAUUAUUUUUUUCUAUUUGAGCAACAAAUAGAAUAAAGAUAUAUUAAUUUACACAAUCUCAAAAUUUUGAUGUGAGGGCAGAUAUGGUAAAGUUGAUAAUAUAAGAUAUAACAGUAGUUUUUGUUGGGAAAGGCAAGGCACUAUCAAAGAAUGCUCGGAAGGAUAGCAGCGGAAAAAUAUCAAAGUCUAAACUUUCCCUUACAAUUUGAAUCAAUAGAAGAAAAAACUAAAUCAAUCAAUACGAAGAAUCGACAACAAGUAUAUCAACCAAACAAAAACAAUAAGAUAAGAAUAAAUCAAUCACACAAGACACAAAGAUUUACAUGAAAAACUCUUCGAUGUGAAGAGUAAAAAAUCACAGGACCAAAAGCUCCACUAUAACCCCAAGAGUUGCAAUAUUGUUCUCCAAAAUUGGCCACAAAAGAAGUGCCAAAUAACUAGCAAUAACGAAAUAAGAUUGCACCAAAACUAGAGAAUUAAAGGAGAGAAUCCACUAAAAAAGAGCUAUUGUUCACACCCCAAAAUCAAAAGCUACAGAUAACUAAAUCUAAUCUCCACCGUUGAAAUACAAGAAUUAUAUAGUGAAAACUCCCGGUUCAAAUUUGUGUACGAUCCAACGGUUAACGAAGUGAAGUACUCUGUUUAAAGUGGACUGCCUGUGCAGAAAAUUCCUUGAAGCAAAAACAUGAUUUUUCUCUUUCUCUCAAUCUCUAAAACAACUCUCUCUUGACUUUUUUCUCUCAUUUGUCUCAAAAUAAUACCUAAAUAAGCCUUAUAUAUGCCACAUAAUAUUGGUAUUAUGGGUUAAAGUGGCUGGUCUAAAUAAGACUUUUAUUUAUCCACACCGAAAAGAAAAAAGAUCCUAAAUCCAACAAUUCUCCGCCUCACAACUAUGUGGAGGAGACCGCCAUCCUGGCGAUCAAGCAACAUUCUUUAAACUUCCCUCUUAGCAAAACUUUAGUCAUCAUGUCAGACCCAUUUUCAUCUGUAUGAAUCUUUUCAAACUCAAGCAACUUAGAAUCCAACACAUGUCAAAUCCAAUGGUACCUUACAUCAAUGUAUUUAGACCGACCAUGAAACAUAGAAUUCUUGCCAAGAUGAAUAACUCUUUGACUGUCGCAAUAAAGCACAUACCUCUCUUGAGCACAACUAAGUUUUCCAAAAAUCUCUUCAUCUAGAUCAACUCUUUGCAAGCUUCUACAAAAGCAAUAAGCUCGGCUUCUGCAGAUAAAUCAAAGCAUUUUUGCAACCUAGAUUGCCAUGACACAGCUUCCCUUGCAAAAGUAAUCAAGUAGUCUGAAGUAAACUCACGAGUAUCAACAUUAUCAGCCAUACCAGAAUCAAUGUAACCACAAAUAAAAGGAUUCCCUAUACCAAAACACAAACUAGAAGUGCCACAAAGAUAUCUCAUAACCCACUUCACUGCAUUCCAAUGUUUUCUUCCCAAAUUAGAGAGAAAACGGCUAACAACAACAACAACGUAUGCAAUAUUCGCUCUUGUACAAAUCAUUGCAUACAUCAAACUACCAAAAGCUGAAGCAUAAGAAACUUUCUUCAAAUCUUCCCUCUCAUCAUAGCUAGAAUGACACUGCUGCUUCAUGCUCAAUUUGAAGUGCAUAGCUAAAGGUGCAUUGACAACCUUAGCUUUGUCGAUGUUGAAUCUGCGAAGUACUUUUUAAAUGUACUUCUCUUGUGAUAACCACAACUUCUUGUCCUCUCUGUCACAGACAAUCUGCAUACCAAGAAUCUGCCUUGCUGGUCCCAAGUCUUUCAUAGUAAAAGACUUACUCAACUCUUGCUUUAACUUCUGAAUCCUGCAAGUAUUAUGACCAACAACAAGCAUGCCAUCAACAUAAAGCAACACAAUAAUAAAGUCACCACCAAAGAAUUUUUGCACAAAAACACAAUGGUCUGAAGAAGUCUUCUUGAAGCCCUACUGACUCAUAAAAAAAACAAACUUUCUAUACCAUUUUCACUGUAUUCCAAUGUUUUCUUCCCAAAUUAGAGAGAAAACGGCUAACAACAACAACAACGUAAGCAAUUUUCGCUCUUGUACAAAUCAUCGCAUAUAUCAAACUACCAAAAACUGAAGCAUAAGAAACUUUCUUCAGAUCUUCCUUCUCAUCAUAACUAGAAUGACACUGCUGCUUCGUGCUCAAUUUGAAGUGCAUAGCUAAAGGUACAUUGACAACCUUAGCUUUGUCGAUGUUGAAUCUGUGAAGUACUUUUUAAAUGUACUUCUCUUGUGAUAACCACAACUUCUUGUCCUCUCUGUCACAGACAAUCUGCAUACCAAGAAUCUGCCUUGCUGGUCCCAAGUCUUUCAUAGUAAAAGACUUACUCAACUCUUGCUUUAACUUCUGAAUCCUGCAAGUAUUAUGACCAACAACAAGCAUGCCAUCAACAUAAAGCAACACAAUAAUAAAGUCACCACCAAAGAAUUUUUGCACAAAAACACAAUGGUCUGAAGAAGUCUUCUUGAAGCCCUACUGACUCAUAAAAGAACCAAACUUUCUAUACCAUUUUCUAAGAGCUUGUUUCAAACCAUACAAGUUCUUCUUCAAUUUGAAAACAUAAUUCUUUUUACCCUUUACUUCAAAACCUUCUGGCUGCUCCAUAUAAUUUUUUUCAUUCAAGUCAUCAUGGAAAAAAGCAGUUUUAACAUCCAUUUGCUCAACCUCUAAAUCUAGACUUGCAGCCAAGCCUAGAUUCACACAAAUGGAUGACAUCUUCACAAUUAGAGAACAUCUCAUCAAAAUCAACUCCCAUUUUCUGGUUAAAUCCCUUCAGAACUAAUUUAGAUUUGUACCGUAGAAUUGGAAUACCUUCUUCAUGUUUACCUAGAAAAUCCACAUGUUUUUAAAGCCUUUCGAUAUUUAGGUAACAUAACCAAAUUGAAGGUGUGAUUAUCAUAUUAGGAUUUAAUUUCAUCUUCCAUUUCAUUAAACCACCUUUCGUUUUAUUCACUUUACAUGGCCUCAUCAAGACUCUUAUCUUUUCCCCCAUCAGUCAAUAGUACAUACUCAUUAGGAGAAUAACGAGAUGAAAAAAUUCUCUCUCUAGCAGGUCGUCUGAGAGAAAUCUCCGAAUCAUCAAUAAUUGGUUCUGGGUCACCAACAUCAUCUACCAAUGGAGAAUCAACAACAUCAUACUGGUAAUUUUGAACAUGAUCACCAUCUUCAUUAACAACUUGACUUUCAUCAUUAUGAAGAGUUUCUUCAGUGCAAUAGUCAAAGGAACUGGAUCAACAUCAAUUAGGCUCUUAGUGCUCUGAGAAUCAACUUUCUUGGCUUUGUCAAGAUCUUCAAUUGUUUGGUCUUCAAAGAACACAACAUCACGACUUCUAACAGUUUUUCUCAACUAGCCAAAUUCAUCUUGAUCAUAACAAAGGUACAUUGCCUAGUUUUGACAUACAACUUUGACAUCUCAUCCUUAGCAACAUGCACAAAGGUUUUACACCUAAAAACUUUAGGAUGAUCAUAAGAGACAUUCUUACCAGAUCAAACUUGUCAGGGACAUGACCAUUCAAAGCAAGAGUAAGAGAUAAAUUGAUAACAUAGGUAGAAAUAUUAAGUGCUUCCGUCCAAAAGGAAUCUGGUUGUUUAGCAUCUGAAAGCAUACAUUUAACCCUCUCAAAUAGAGUUUUGUUCAUCCUCUUUGCUAAACCAUUUAGCUAAGACAUAUUUGAAGGAUUUUUUUUAUGCCAACUACCCUGCUCACUGCAAUAUCUAUCAAAAGAAUCAAUAUACUCAUCAUCAUUAUCAAAACGGAUGUGUUUUAAUUUCCUUCCUGUUUGUCUCUCAACCAAGGCCUGAAAACUCUUAAACGCAUCAAGGACUUGACCCUUGAACUUCAAAGAGAAUACCUAGAGUUUGCAAGAAUGAUCAUCAAUAAAAGUCACAAAGUAAAGUGCACCACCAUGAUACUUUUCCUUAAAAGAACCACACAAAAUAAAAUUUACCAACUCCAGCAAAUCAAGCUUCCUUGAAGGCAUAUGACUCUGAAAAGAAACUCUUUUUUGUUUAUCGGCUAAGCAAUGAACACAUUUGUUCAACUUUUCUUGUUUCACUCCAGAAAGCAAAUUCUUCUUAGUCAAUUUUUUCAUUCCCUUCUUGCUCAUAUGACUCAGUCUUUUAUGCCAUGACUAUGAUGAAGUAUCAUUCUCCACCAAAUUUAUCAAGCCUAUAAAAAUGGAGCCCUAGAAUACGUACAAGUUAGACAACUUGUCACCACAAUCCAAAACCAUCGAAUCUCUAGUAAGCUUCCACUGGCCAGCACCAAGGGUAUAAACAUAACCCUCAUCAUCAAGGUAUCCCUCAGAAAUCAAAUUCAAGCGAACCUCUAGAGGAUGUUAUAAUAUUAUUGAAGACUAGUUUGGAUCUAUUGUUACUUUUCAAACAAACAGUCGCAAUGCCAAGAACUGCAACCUCAUGAUUAUUGUCCAUUUUCAGCAUGCCACAAUUACCUGGAGUAUAAGAAGAAAAUAAUUUCUUUUUUGGAGUGACAUGAGAAGUAGCACCAGACUCCACAAACCAGCUAAACUCAUCACGAACAAGAUUGACAAAAUUUUCAUCACAAAAAUAAGAAGAUCAUCAUUAGCAGCAACAACAACACAAUUUUCAUUAUCGCCUUCUUUCUUUUGUUCUCUCAUAUAUCACUUAUACCUAAAGCAAUAUUUUUUUAUAUGCCCAUUCUUGUGGCAAUAGUCACAUGUAACAUUCUUAUAUUUAGACUUUGACUUACCUCUACUUUUAUAUCUGCAUUCUAACCUCUGAACUUGCUUCUCCCCUGUCUUCAGUAACCAAAACAUCGAAGUGUGAAGUAGAAGAAGAUAAGCCUUGAGGUCUUCUUCUCUUCUCUUCAUUCAAGACAUCAUUCUUAGCAUAUUCUAUAGUUACAACACCACUAGGAGCAUAAUUAGUCAAAGAAAUUCAAAGAGUUUUCCAAGAGUCUGGCAAAGUGUUAAGAAGUAAAAGUCCAUGUAUCUCUUCAUCGAACUUUUCAUUCAUUUCGGACAACUAGUCAAGAACACCUUGAAAAUUAUUAAUAUGAUCAGAAAUAUGAGUGUCCUCUUUAUACUUGAUGUUCAUUAAUUGUUUAAAUAGAAAUAACUUAUUGUUGUCAGUCUUUGAAGCAUAGAGUGUCUCAAGCUUGUCCCAAAAUCUUCUAGCAUGUGUCUUAUUCACAAUGUGAUUUCUAACAUUAUCUUCAACCCAUUGUCUGAUAUAGCCACAAACAUGUAAGUGCUCAAAUUCUUAUUCCUGAUCCAUCAUGGAUUGAGGCUUAUUAGAAACAAACACAGGUAAAUGCAUCUUUUUUUAAAAUAGAAGAUCUUUCAUCUUGCCUUUUCAAGUAUGAUAGUUACUACCAUUCAAACAAACCAUCUUGCUCAUAUUUUUCUCCACCGUUCAAAUCGAUAAUCAACAAUAACCUUAUGCUAUGAUAACACUUUGUUGGAAAAGGAAAUGCACUAACAAAGAAUGCCCGAUAAUAUAGCAACAGAAAAAUACCCAAGUCUAAACUUUUCCUUUAAGUUUGAAUCAAGUGAAGACAAACUAGAUCAAGCAGUACGAAGAAUUGACAUCAAGUAUAUCAACCAAACAACAACAACAACAACAACAAGAUAAGAAUAAACAAACACACAAGACACAAAAAUUUACAUGGAAAACCCUUCAAUGCGAAGAAUAAAAACCACAUGACCAAAAGCUCCACUAUAAUAACCAAGAGUUACAAUAUUUUUCUCCAAAUAUAGCCACAAAAUAAGUGUCCAACAAUGAGUAUCAACGAAACAAGAUUGCACCAAAACUAGAGAAUUAAAGGAGAGAAUUCACCAAAAAAUGAGCUACUAUUCAUAACAAAAAAUCCAAAUCUAAAGACAACCAGAUCCGAUCUCCACCGUUGAAAUGCAAGAACCAUAUGUUGAAAACUCCCAGUUUAAAUUUGAGCACGAUCCAAUGGUUAACGAAGCAAUAAACUGUGUUUAAACUAGACAACUUGAGCAGAAAAUUUCUUGAAACAAAAACGAGAUUUUUCUCUCGUUCUUUCAAUCUCUAAAUGCCUCUCUUUCUAUUUCUCUCUCUUGUGUGCCUGAAAAUAAGACCUAAAUAAGCCGUAUAUAUGCCACAUAAUAUUGACAUUUAUUUAUUCACAUAGGAAGGAAAAAAUCCUACACCCACUAUUUUAACUCAAACUCAAUAUUUAUUUUAAAUUUUAAUCAACAUCUAUAAAUUUUCAAUUUCAAAUGAUCAUAUCAAUUAACUUAAAGAAUGUUAUUUUCUCUCGUUCAUAACUUCAUAUUGAAUUGUGCUUUUAAUUUAGGCAAACCCCUUUUAAAAUCUACUAUUUUCUAAAAAUUAAAAGUGUAUCUUGGUUUAAAUAUAAAAAAAUCACUUAUCUAAAUAAGGAUAAUAAAAAAGAAAUAAUUAAUUCCUUUUUAGUUAUGUGAAACACUAUUUAUUUUGAACUAAAAUAGAAAAAUAAAAUUAUCAUUUAAUUAGACUAGGAGGGAGUAAAAUAAACAUCAAAUCUUGUAUUAGGCACACAUUAUUUAUACGCUUCCUUGGAGUAGCAUCCAUCCUCCUACUUUUUUAUUUUUGACUUUUCCAUAAAAAUACCUUUAUUCCAAUCUUAUAUAUCUAUAUAUACCAAAACCCCUCAUUGACUAAUUAGACUUUCCUAUUUCAAGAAAGAAUGAAUUUUGAGGAUUCAUAUCACAUUAGAUUUAAUCUCGAUCAAAUAGUUGAAAUUCAUUUCAAGAAAUAAUUGAUAUUUGAGGAUUCACACCACGUUAGAUUUAAUCUCAAAAGUUGAUCAAAUUUAUUCUCCAGACUCUAUUUCGACUUGCCUUGUACACACGUGAGACAUAUGAACCUUGGGCUCUGAUAUCAUUUGUCACGAUAAAAAAUGCACGUGAUGACACUCAUUUUAUCCCACCGAGACAAGUCAGCCUAACACCCAAAACUACAAUACAAAAUGUAGAAAGUAAGCUAUCAAUAACAUAAGUGUGAAAAAUUUAGAUAAAAUACAUAACUACCACCAAAAUCUGGUUGUCACGUGUAUAAGCCACUAAUGUAUAAAAGCACUUGAAUAGAACGAAGCAUAAAAUAAGGAAUAAGAGGACCCACCGGGAUGACAAGCAACUACCUCGCAACGUGUCCUCAAAAGCCUUAGAAGAAAUGUCACACAAGUCUAGGUCCGAAUCUACACAAGUGUAGAAGCAAUGAGUGAGUACCAAUCAACACGGAACUCAACAAGCAAUCCAAUAACACAAGGUAAAACUAGCCUAGAUUACAAAUACUCAUUUCAUCCCAACCGAACCUCCUCAACUAAAACCUGCACAGAAAUCAGUUCAGCCUAACAAUUUACAAUAUACAACUCACACGGCUCAACAAUCACAAUUCAACAUUAACAGUUCAACAAUCACUAGUAUCACAUUAAUCAAUCACAAGUAUCAAGUUGGAAUUUAUGGGGAAUACCCAUAGUCCAUGCACUCGCUGACAAUGACCUUGGCAUAAUAGAACCCACACGGCAAUGACCUCGACAUCAAUAACAUUCUUCAAAAAUGACCUCGACAUCAAUAACACUCACCGGAAAUGACCUCGGCCUAAUAACCUCGCAUCUCAUCAUAAUGCCCAGAAUCAAUGUGAAUGAGCAUACUCACACAAUAUUGAAGAGAUGAUAAACUCAAGCAAUUCAAGUUCACAAUAAUAUUAUCAAAGCAUUUCAUCAAUCAUGAGUUCAAUGUUCACACCAAGACAAUUCAUAAUACACAAUACAUCAUUAACAACACAUUACCUUUUUCAUUAAACUGCAUUUAUAUCGAUAAAGCUAAUCAAAUGAGUAAAUUAACCCAUCACCUCACUUCCAUUGCUUCCCAACACACACAAUGAAGGAAAAUACAAGUUUCUACAAGUUUUAACAAUGUUUAGAGGUCUUGUCUUAAUCAAUCAAAAGUCACUCUAGGACUUGAGCUUUUCCCCUCCGAAUAAUAUCUAAAGCAACACAAUCUAAUCAAAUAAGUAAUCACAAUGAGAUUUUGAAACUAAUAACACACAUAUCAAGCACUUUAAAAAAUGGGUCAAUUCGACUCAAAAAAUAAAUUCCAAAAAUUAGGUUUGAAAUUGAAAAUCAUUACUUAAAUACGUUACCCAAAACAUUUGAAACUCAUUGGUGAAAGCCAUUUUGAAAAUAAAGGUGUAUUCAACUCAAAAUCACCAAUUUACUUCAACACCCAGUUAGUCUUGAAAACCUUUUCAUUUUGCCAAUCAAAAAUCUCUAUUUUUUUUAAUGUUAAAACUACAAAUGAUAAUGGAGAAUUGAAGACUUAGGGUUACAAACACUUACCCAAAAAAUUUAGUACGAUAAGUCUCCUCAAAAUCACCUUCAACUGUUCUUCAAAAUUCAAAAUGGAGAAAUCCCAAAAAAACAAACUAAAAGGCUCCCAUGUCUCGCUUUUGCAAACCCAGGGUCACUUACACAAUCAUCGCAAUCCUAGUUCAAAAAAUCGAACUCUGAAAAGUUGGCUAGUAAUCACUUUCGCGAGCCGGCCUUCACUAAAGCGAAGGUCGCGAAAGCGACAACCACUCGCAAACGCGAAGGUCUAGGGGAACCGACCCCUUGCGAAUGUGACUAGUAUAUCACGGAAGCAAUGUUUGCGAAAGCGAACAACCUCUCGUUAACGUGAGGCACACAUGGUAAUAGAAAAUUCAUCCAACUUUCAAAAUUCCUAAAUGAUCCUCAGAAUUCGUUCGGAACCCAUAUACACAAAUUAAAUAUGUAACUCGACGAUACUCAACGUUUCAAAUAUAAUGGAACUAUUGAAAUACGAAUCUGAGAUCUCCUAGACCCGAAUCUCGUGUAAAUCACAAGAAACUAACACAACACCUAAAACUGACAAACUAGCUCGGGACCUCUUAAAAUUCAACCAAGAUCUCUGCCUAAGCCUAAAAUCAUCUCCCGAAUUCAAUGGAAUUGUUGGAAAUUCGAUCCGGGCAUCCAAACUCCAAAUGUUAACAAAGUCAACCUAAAGGCUAAAUUCUCACCAAUUUUCAAGUUAGGACCUCAAAUCCAGGAAAAGACUCUGAAUGUAACACUCCGGAAACUAGUAGGCUAAACUAGAGCUUAACAUGUGGGUUAAAGUCGUAAAUGUAACUCCCCGUACUUAAAAAUAAUGGGUUUCAUGUUAGGAUGUCAAGGUACGACCCCCAAGAACCAACUAUGGGUCCUUGAGGAAGACCCUAGAAAAGUUGCAUGUAUAGUGACCCACGAAGGGGACCUACACCACGUAGGUCAACCCACACCCAUGGGUGAGAGGGCCGUAGGUCAGGCCCUAAAAAUCAAGUCCCACAACCCAACCCACGCUUCACCAGCACGGGCCGUAGGUCCAACCACGGUCCGUCAGUGGUAGGUCUUGGAUGGUCACCUGGAAGCUGAUUUGGAGGGUUAAGUUAGAGGGCACUUUGGGGUUUUCCAGGUUUAAUUAAUACUAAGUGAGGUUGUUUUAGCCUAUUUUAGAACACCUAUAUAAGGAUUUAAGCUCACAAAAUUUACUCAUCUUCCUCAUUAUUCCAAAAUCCCAAAUAAAAACCAACUUUUCCCCAAAUAUUCUCUCUCUAGAACUUCAAAGAAAACGAAGAAGGAAGUUGGAGCUAGGGUUCAAUGAGCAAGGUUUUCUUCUCAAAUUCAUUGGAUUUCAUUGCUAAGGUAUGGUAGUUCUUCAUACAUGGAUAUAAUUCAUCCAUGGAGCCCCUUCAAAACCUCAAUUUCAAAGAUGGAAAUUCCCCAAAAGUUAGGGUUUUACUCCAAGUCAUGGGUUCCUUUAAAAAAUGAUUCUAGUGAUUUAAUUACUUAUACUAUGAUUGAAUUUAUGAUCUUUUAUGGUUUUUAUGUUGAAAUCCCCAAGAAUCCAUGAAAUCCCCCAUAUUACUCAAUUAUGAUCUUGUGAUGUAGGUUUGUUGAUGAAAGAAGAGUAUUAUGAGAUUUUACAUGUAGUGAUUUGAUUACUUGAAUUAUGAUUAUAUCCAUGUCUAAAGUAGUGAAUUCUAGAUGUGUUGAUUGAAUAUGAUCAUUGAUCCUUGAAGGGUAAAGUAUGAGAAUUAUGCAUGAUUAUGAGAUUUAUGUAUAUGCUUUAAGAACACUUUGAGAGUAAAGUGAUUAUGAUUAUGAUCUAGUUGUUGUGUUGUUGAAAGGUUAUCCUCAUAUACACACUUACGUAUGAAUAUGAUAUGAUGUGAGGGGUUUUCUCAUAAUAUGAUGAUUCUAAGGUUGAAAGACUAUUCUCACCUAUUGAAUCUAGGAGCUAUCUUAUGAGUUAUGUUGGAUUGAGUGUCAAGACAUUCUUCCAUGAAUAUGAAUUUAAGUCAAGACUUAACAUGAACUCCGUGGGAAUUAAUGCUCAGCACCGAGUGGAUAUUGAUAUGAGAUGGGAACCCUCACAAUAGUAGAGACCGAGUUUCUAGGAACAAUCUCUUGGGAUGGAAGCCCUCACGAUAGUAGAGGUCGGGUUUCUAGUAGCAAUCCCCUUGUCCCAUAAACUAUGUGCCUUCAUAGGUCUUUAGAUAGUGGAUCCACCUAAGCUAAGAGUAUGGUUCUACCUUAGGAAAGUAGGACAACCCCUUUUCGGUGUGGGGUAGACACCGGAUUCCAUGUUAAGCUCACAUGGUCUAUGUCGGUUAAGGCUUAUACCACUAUGAUAGUAUAAACAAUAAUAUGAAUUAUGAACUAUAGCUACUCAAGAAGCUUUACUUAGUAUGUGUGAGAUUAUGGGAUCUUAUUCAUGCAUUACACAAGUAUGCUUUGAGGGUAUUUAUGAUAUGUUCAUCUUACGAUAUGAUGAUCUAUGAGUUGAUUAUGCUUAUGACUUAUGCUUUUUCCACUAUCUUCAAAAUGAUGUUUUAACAUAGUAAAUUGCAUGCAUUCAACUAAAUGUCCUUUUAGCAUUAUUUCAAUGUUUUUAUGCAUGGCUAUCAUACUUAGUGCAUUUUUGUACUAACACAUGCUUUUUCUACAUUUUCCGCAAUUGUAGGGUCCGGUUCUCAAGGUGGUCAUCAUUGUGGCUAAAGAUUGGAUUUGCUUAUUCUCCUAGCUUGUUGGUGAUUCCUCAUGAUUUAAGGACUGAUGUUAUCUUUGUAGUUCUUUUCUUGUAUUUCCUUUACGGACUAUGUUGUAUGGGCUGUGACCCUAUUUCUUUCAAGUAUUGUAAUAGAUGGCUAUAUUGAGACAAGUCUAGACUUUCGCUUUCCUUUAUGAAAAAUUUUGGACUUGAAAUGCGAUUUUACUCUUUAUUGUUCUAUUCUUAUGUUAUGAUACGUUAAGAGGCUUGUAUAAGGCUUCUCGGAGUCUUGCACACCGUGUUACAUCUAGGGGGUACUUUUGGGUCGUGACAAACUUGGUAUCAGAGCACAGGGUUUAGAUUGAUUCUAGGAUGAUGUAUCAUAAGCAACGUCUAGUAGAGUCUUGCUCAUGAGUGUGAAGCGCGCCACAUUUAUGAAUGUGAGGCUACUAGUUGAUUAGGAAACUACAUUUCUUUCAUUACUCUUAAGUCGUGCAAUAGAGUUUAACUCUAUAAAGUCCCUCUCUUAAUCCUUCUCUUAAAAUGAAUACACGAAGGGCUAAUGCUAGAAGAAUAGAGGGUGACAAUGUGAAUGAAGAAGCUCUUCAAGCUAAUCAAGCUCCGAUUGAUCCUUUAGUUAUGUCGAAUGUGGAGGUUAGGUCGGCUUUUCAAAUGUUGGCCCAAGCUUUGACUACUCAAGCUCAAGUUGUGACGGCUCAAGCCAACAGAGAGGUUGUAGCUAUGGUGAAUCCUAAUGUGAGUUCAGAGGCUUCAAGAGUGAGGGAUUUUUCAAGAAUGAACCCCCCGAAUUGCAUGACUCCAAAGUGGAGGAGGAUCCUCAAGAAUUUGUAGAAGAGGUUUAUAAAGUACUUGCUAUUAUGGGGUGACUUCGGUAGAGAAAGCAGAGUUGGUUGCUUACCAAUUGAAAAGUGUUGCUCAAGUGUGGUAUAAUCAAAGGAGGAGAAAUAGGCCGGUAGGAGCAAGUCGCAUAAAGUGGGAGGUGUUCAAAUUGGCGUUUCUUGAUAGGUUCUUUCCCCGAGAGUUGAGGGAAGCUAAGGUGGAAGAGUUCAUUAACCUUCAUCAAGGAAGCAUGAGUGUGAAAGAGUAUGCACUAAAGUUCACUCAAUUGUCCAAGUAUUCUCCAACUAUGGUGGCGGAUUCGAGGGAUGAGAUGAGUAGGUUUUUGACGGAUGUGUCUGGCUUGGUAGUAAAAGAAUGUCGUUCAGUAAUGCUCCAUCAUGAAAUGGAUAUCUCACGUCUUAUGGUGCAUUCCCAAUAAAUAGAGGAAGAGAAACUCAAGAAAAAGAAUAGAGAGGUGAAAAGAACUACGACCGGUGAUGGGAAAUUCUCCAAUGCUAAGUCUGAUGUACAAGGUCGACCAAGGUUUUCCAACCAAGGCUCCUCUAGUUCUCCAAGGGUCAACAAGGAUAGGGUUUCCAACCCUAAACCUCAAGGAGGUAAUAGUGGUGGUUCUUAUGUGGCUAGGCCUAAUUGUGCGAAAUGUGGAAGAAAACAUGAUGGUAAGUGCCUAGUUGGCUCGGACAGUUUCUAUGGUUGUCGAAAGAGUGUCCACAAGAUGAGAGAUUUCCCGAUGCUCAUGGCCAAGGGAAGAGAAGGCAAUUAAACUCCUCCAAGCGGUUCAAACUCCAAUGCCCCAAAGCAAAACCGUUUUUAUGCUCUUCAAUCCCGAGACCAAGAGAGCUCACGGAUGUUGUGACCGGUAUGUUAAAAUUCUUUCUUAUUGAUGUGUAUGCCUUGUUAGAUCUCGGUGCUACUUUGUCCUUUGUGACACCUUAUGUCGCCAUGAAGUUUGAUAUACUUCCCGAAGCGUUAGUGGAACCUUUUUUGGUUUCUACCCCGGUUGGUGACUCAGUGGUGGCUAAGAGGGUGUAUAGAAGGUGUCUCAUUUGCUUGUCCCAUAGAGUUACUUUGGUGUAUUUCGUAGAGUUAGACAUGUUAGAAUUUGAUGUGAUUUUGGGUAUGGAUUGGUUGUAUGCAUGUUAUGCCUCUAUCGAUUGUAGGACUCGGGUGGUUAGAUUCCAAUUUCCAAAUGAGCCUGUCUAAGAGUGAAAGGGAGGAAAUUCUAUGCCUAGAGGUCAAUUUAUCUCUGGUCUUAAAUCUAGGAAGAUGAUCUCCAAAGGGUGUAUUUACCAUAUUGUUAGGGUGAGGGAUGUUGAAUCUGAAACCCCUUCUCUAGAGUCGGUUUCGGUAGUGAAUGAGUUAUCGAAAGUUUUUCCUGAUGAUUUACCCGGUAUUCCUCCCGAUCGGGAAAUAAAUUUUGGUAUUGACCUUUUACCGGAUACAAAGCCUAUCUCUAUUCCUUCUUAUAGAAUGGCUCCGGCUGAGUUGAAAGAGCAACUAAAAGAUUUAUUUAAUAAGGGCUUCAUCCGAUCGAGUAUCUCUCCAUGGGGUGCUCCGAUGUUGUUUGUUAGAAAGAAGGAUGUGUCUCUUAGAAUGUUCAUCGAUUAUCGUCAAUUGAAUAAAGUUACCAUUAAGAACAAGUAUCAUCUUCUGAGAAUUGAUGACUUGUUUGAUCAAUUUCAAGGGGCUAGUUAUUUCUCAAAAAUUGACCUUCGUUCGGGUAUCACCAGUUAAGGGUGAGAGGGGUUGAUAUUCCCAAGAUGGCUUUCAGAACUCGAUAUGGACAUUCUGAAUUCCUUGUGAUUUCAUUUGGCUAAACUAAUGCUCCUGCGGCAUUUAUGGACCUAAUGAAUAAAGUAUUUAGGUAAUACCUAGACAUGUUUGUAAUUGUGUUUAUCGAUGAUAUUUUGAUCUAUUCAAGGAGUGAGAAUGAUCAUGAGGACCAUUUGAGAAUUGUGUUGCAAGUUCUUAAGGACCACCAACUUUUUGCAAAGUUUAGCAAGUGUGAAUUUUGGUUGAGAUCCGUAGCUUUCCUUGGUCAUAUUUGUCAAGCAAGGGUAUUGAGGUAGAUUCUAAGAAGACGGAUGAGGUCAAGAGUUGGCCUAGAGCUCUAACUCCUUUCUAUAUUAGAAGCUUUUUGGGUUUUGCCGGUUGCUAUAGAAGGUUUGUUGAGGAAUUUUCUUCCAUUGCUUCUCUUUUGAUUGCUUUGACUCAAAAGAAAGCUAAGUUUGUGUGGUCGGAAUCUUGUGAGAAAACUUUCCAAGAGUUGAAAGAUAGACUUAUUUCUGCUCCGGUGUUAACCUUACUAGAAGGUACAAAUGGUUUCGUGGUAUAUUGUGAUGCCUUUAGAGUGGGGUUGAGAUGUGUGCUCAUGCAAAGCGGUAAAGUGAUUGCAUAUGCUUCAAGGCAACUUAAAGUCCAUGAAAAGAAUUAUCCGACCCAUGAUCUUGAAUUAGCGGCGGUUGUGUUUGCCUUAAAAAUAUGGAGGCAUUAUUUGUAUGGGGUCCAUGUGGAUGUUUUCACCGAUCACAAGAGUUUUCAAUAUGUAUUUAGUCAAAAGGACUUGAAUCUUCGACAAAGAAAGUGGCUAGAACUCUUGAAGGAUUAUGAUAUGAGUGUCCUUUAUCACCUCGGCAAAGCCAAUGUGGUAGCAGAUGGACUUAGUAGAUUGUCCACGGGUAGUGUGGCUCAUGUAGAGGAUGAAAAGAAAGAAUUGGUUCGUGAUGUGCAUAGGUUGGCUCGACUAGGUGUUCAACUAGUGGAUUCCACCAUGGGUGGUGUCAUGGUCCAUAAUGGUUCCAAAUCAUCCUUUGUAAUAGAUGUGAACCCUAAGAAAGACCUUAAUCCUAUAUUAGUUGAGUUGAAAGAGUCGGUACUCAAGAAGUCCGUUGAGUUUUUCUUCCAAGGGGAAGAUGGGGUGCUUAGGUACCAAGGUCGGUUAUGUGUUCCAAAUUUUGAUGGUUUGAGGGAACAAAUUUUACAAGAAGCUCAUAGUUCUCGGUAUUUUAUUCAUCCGGGAGCCACCAAGAUGUAUUGUGAUCUACGGAAAGUCUAUUGGUGGAAUGGGAUGAAGAAAGAUAUUGCGGGAUUUGUAGCCAAAUGUCCUAAUUGUCAACAAGUUAAGGUUGAGCAUCAAAGGCCGGGAGGCUUGUCCCAAGAUAUAAGUAUUCCCACUUGGAAGUGGGAAGAUGUAAAUAUGGACUUUAUUGUGGGUUUGUCUUGUACCCGAAGGAAACAUGAUUCUAUUUGGGUCAUUAUAGAUCGGAUGACAAAAUCAGCCCACUUCAUUCCCGUCACGGUUUCCUUUUCGGUGGAAUACUAUGCCAAGGUGUAUAUAAGGAAGAUAGUGAAGUUGCAUAGAGUUUCUCUAUCUAUUAUUUCCCAUUGGGAUACUCAAUUUACUUCCCACUUUUAGAAGUCAUUCCAAAAAGGUCUUGGCGCGAAGGUGAAGCUUAGUACAACUUUUCACCCCCAAACGCAUGGACAAGCGAAAAACACCAUUCAUGUAACACUUCGUAUCCAAAAAUAGACCAACCAACAGAUUUCCAGAAGUUUCAGGUGCAACCCACGGACCGUAGGGUGACCUACGUUCCGUCUUGAUGGUCCGUGGUUCACCACCUGCAGCCCCUCCCAGAAAAGGCCCAUAAAAUUAUUCUAAGUCCAGACCUACGUAAGGACCUACAGACCGAAGGCCAGACUAGGGUCUGUGUUCCAGGGCCGUAGGUCAGACCCUCAGACAAAUGUUUAUAUGACAUGACCUACAGACGAACCCACGGACCAUAGGUUAGGCCACAAAUCGUGGUCCUAGUCCGUGGAAUGAGGCCCCAGAAUCUAGUCCCAGAACCCCGUUGAUGGUUGACCAGCAUGACCGUUGGUCCAUCCAUGGUCCGUUGGUGGCCUCGAUAACUUUUAAGUCAGGGGUCGUUUGGUCUUUUCCCUAUGUGUUGGACCCCUAAACUACAUAGUUUUUGUCAGUUUUAGCCUAGUAAACUAAUUAGAACCUAACCUAAUCAAUCAUUCAUCUAAAAUUCAUCAAACUUAGAGCAAAAUAGAGGAGAAAGUUGAGCAGCCCUAGUUCAAGAGCGCAAGGAGCGUUCAUUAGUUCCAACCUCGAAAUCAAAAGAUUUCUCGGUGAAUUUUAUCACCAGGUAUGUGGGAUUUCACUAGUGGUUUCCUUUCACCCAUUAGGUCCCUAGAAUUCAGUCAGAUUCUUGAUUCCUUUCAUAUUAUCUAGACCUAGGGUUUUUAGAAUUUCAGAAGAUUAUUAUGAAUUACUGUAAUGUUCCUAAUUAGAUUAUCAUGAUAUUAGUAUUAUUUUGCGUAGAUUUUUUCAUAAGUUCAGAACCCUAGCUAUGUAGUUCUUUUAGUUCAUGAAUUACACAUGCUAGGUUAGUUAUCUCAGUUAUACAUGCCUCAGAUUUGAAUGUUUCAUUAUUAGUACAUUAAUGUUGCUUUUUUAGUUAGCAUGUCAGUAUUUUGAGCUAUCCAGUAUUACAUAAAUUCACUCAUAAACUGUUAAUUACAUAAUCAAUUGGGAGUAGCUUAAUACCGAGUGGACUAGGGUCAGUCACCCUCAACUCCCAGAACUUCGUGCCCCCGUAGGUUAUAAGUCCUCUCUGUGGGCAUCAAUUUAGUGAUCACGCUAGUUAUGCCUCUAUACCUCCGACAGGGUAUAUUUGGUCCUCUCGAUGAGGCGUAUACAUCGGACUCCAUAUUUAGCUCAUGUGGUUUUAUGUCGGUUAUUAGUAGCUCCCUUAUAGUUAGACUCUAUUGCAUUGACCAUGUUAUCAGUUACAGUCAGAUUUUAGUCUCAAUUUGUUAUAAACUUGGUCAUUGCAUUCAGUUAGUUCAUGUUUAGUAUUUUCAGUAUAGAAUCAUGCUUAUCUUAUCUCAUUGCUCAAUUAUAUGCUUUGUUCAGUUAUGUUUAUUGUUCAGCUUUACUCUAUCUUACAUUCUCAAUACCUUUCAAGUACUGACGCAUACGAUGCGCUACAUCUUUUUAUGAUGCAGGUUCAGGUCCUCAACUUUCAGAUCACGCAUAGGUCGAUUCCCGAUCUUCAGCUCAGCAGUAUCAGUGGUGAGUCCUCAUUCUCUGAGGACGACAUACAUAUUUCUUUUUAUUUUUAGUCUUUAGUUUCAGUUUUGUUAGAUUUAGCUAGGGCAUGUCCCAGCAUUUCUAGUCAGUUAAAGGCUUAUUUUCAGACAUAGUUAGAUUCAGCUUUAGCAUUUGAGUUUGACCUUUUAGUUGUUGUUUAACUCUCAGUUUUUUAUAUAUUCAGAUAGUUUAUGGGUUUUCCCCAUCAUUUUAGUUUUAUGAUGAUUUAAGCUUCCGCACCGUACUUUCUUAAUUCAGUUAUCUUUAAGUAUGCUUAUGAUAUGCCAGUAGGGUUAGCUUGGGGUCACUCGCGAUCCUAGGUCCCGUGUCCGCGUCUUGGGGGUAGCUUCGGGGCGUGACAAACUUGGUAUCAAAGCACUAGGUUUAAGUGUCCUAGGAUGUCUGAAAAGCCGCACUAAGUAGAGUCCUUUUCAUGGGUGUGAAGUGCACCACAUCUAAUGAGUGGGAGGCUACGAUGUGUUCUAGGAAAACUUCACUUUUUUUAUAUUCUUAUCGUGCGUGGGUAUGAUCUACCUUCUAAUCCAUCAUUAUGCAUUUCAGAUCAUGCCUCCUCGUAGAGAUUACAGAAGGAAUGCUAAUGCACGCAAUGCUAAUGCAACUCUUCCAGUCCCAGAUCAGGAAGUUUCGAAUGCAGAGUUCCAAAACGCCAUUUAGUUUUUAGCUUAGAGUGUGACCAACCAGAACAACCAAUAUGUUCAGGUUCCUACAAAUACUAGUGGUGGAUCAGCGGCAACUAGGGUUUAUGACUUUGUUAGGAUGAAUCCGCCAAAAUUUCUAGGAUCGCAAGUUGAUGAGGAUCCCCAAAACUUCAUAAAUGAGGUCAAGAAGAUCUUUGGAUUAAUGCAAGUGAUUAGAAAUGAUAGGGUGGAGUUGGCAUCCUACUAACUUAAGGAUGUAGCUCACAUAAGGUUCACGUAGUGGAAAGAAAACAAAGAUACGGAUGCAGUUCCUAUCACUUGGGAGUAUUUUAGUGAGACCUUUCUAGAAAAGUUUUUCCCAAGAGAGUUGAGGGAGGCAAGAGCUCACGAGUUCAUGAAUUUGAGGCAAGGUAACAUGAUAGUCGAAGAGUACGUGCUCAAGUUCACCCAACUCUCCAGGUAUGAUCCUCACAUGGUUGCCGAUUCCAGGGCUCAAAUGAAUAAGUUUCUGUAUGGAGUAUCCGACUUGGCGAAAACUAAGUGUCGCAAUGCUAUGUUACUGGAGAAUGUGAAUAUCUAUAGGCUCAUGACUCAUGCUCAGCAGGUUAAGGGAGAUAAGCUUAGGGAACAUGCUAAGGAUAAUAAGAAGGCUAGGACAGGCAACUAUGAGUAUUCUCAAUAGAAAUCAGGUGGUGGAAAUCGCUCGCAGUUUCAGCAAAAGUCUUCAGCUCCAGCACAUUCAUGAGAUAGUGUUCCAUCUUCCAGGUUUCGACAGAAUCAGAAAGGUAGGGCAAUAGGCUCUAAGUCUCAUGGGAGUAUUUUAGGCAUCAAAACCUACCCAACUUGUCCAAAGUGUGGUAAGAACCAUCUGGGCAAGUGUCUUACAGGAAAUGAAUGAUGCUUUGGGUGUGGUCAGUCUAGUCACAGGUUGAGAGACUGUCAUUCUUCUAAAUAGGGUCAAGUAGGAAACAAUGGUAGGGCUCAGUCUACAUCUUCAGCAGUACCAGCAGGUCACCCGACUCAGCAAGGUAACUCAUCUGGUAUAGGUGGCGGACAACACCAAAACAGGUUGUAUGCUCUUCAGGCUCACCAAGAUUAGGAAGAUUCUCCUGAUGUAGUCACUGGUACGCUACGAGUCUUUAACUUAGAUGUUUAUGCUUUGUUAGAUCCAUAGCCUACUCUCUCUUCUGUAACUAAUAACUAUCGAUUUUAGUGUCAGUCCCGAAAUUCUCUCAGAACCCUUCUCAGUCUCUACUCCAGUCAGUGACCCAAUUAUAGCUAGAUGGGUAUAUAGAAAUUUCCCUGGCACAGUCUCUCAUAAAGUCACCUCAGCGGAUCUUGUAGAGUUAGAAAUGGUAGACUUUGAUGUCAUUCUUGGCAUGGAUUAGUUACAUUCCUGUUAUGCCUCAGUCGAUUGUAAAACUAGGAUCGUUCAUUUUCAGUUUCCAGACAAACUAGUAGCUCAGUGCCUAUGGGUCGAUUCAUUUCUUACCUUAAGGCCAGAAAUAUGAUCUCUAAAAGUUAUCUCUAUCAUCUAUUUCGGGUUAAGGAUUCAAGCUCUGAAACCUCAACUCUUGAGUCAGUUCCUGUAGUUAAUGAGUUUGAAUGGAAGGGUAGUAGGUUGGUGCAUAUGGGUCGAUUCAUUUCUUACCUUAAGGCCAGAAAUAUGAUCUCUAAAAGUUAUCUCUAUCAUCUAUUUCGGGUUAAGGAUUCAAGCUCUGAAACCUCAACUCUUGAGUCAGUUCCUGUAGUUAAUGAGUUUCCUGAAGUGUUUCCAGAAGAUCUUCCCGGAGUUCCUCCCAAAAGGGAAAUCGACUUUGGANNNNNNNNNNNNNNNNNNNNNNNNNNNNNNNNNNNNNNNNUCCAGAUACCCAGCCUAUUUCUAUUCCUCCUUACAAAGUGGCUUUAGUUGAGCUUAAGGAAUUGAAGGAGCAGUUGAAUGACCUUUUAGAUAAGGGCUUCAUCAGACCUAGUAUUUCCUUGUGGCACCAGUAUUUUUUGUGAAAAAGAAAAAUAGUUCUCUCAAAAUGUGCAUUGACUAUCGGCAGUUGAACAAGGUCACGAUAAAAAAUAAGUAUCUUAUCCCCUAAAUUGAUGACUUAUUUGACCAACUUCAAGGUGCUAGUCAUUUCUCAAAGAUAGACCUCAGAUCCGAUUAUCAUCAGCUCAGAGUCAGAGAUAGUGACAUUUCGAAAAUAGCCUUCAGAACUCGGUAUGGUCAUUAUGAAUUUGUAGUUAUGUCAUUUGGACUAGCCAGUGCUCCUUCAACUUUCAUGGAUUUGAUUAACAGAGUGUUCAAGCAGUAUUUGGACUUGUUUGUUAUCGUCUUUAUUGAUGACAUCCUCAUUUACUCUAGGAAUGAGGAAGAAGAUACGACUCAUUUGAGGGUUGUCCUGCAAACUCUCAAAGAUCGUCAGUUAUUCGCUAAGUUUAGCAAAUGUGAGUGUUGGUUGUAAUCUGUUGCUUUCCUUGGGCAUAUUGUGUCUAGCGAAGGGAUCUGAGUGGAUUCUCAGAAAAUAAAAGCAGUGAAACAAUGGCCCAGACCUACCUCUCCUAUAGAUAUAAGAAGUUUCUUGGGUUUGGAUGGUUAUUACAAAAGGUUUGUAGAAGGAUUUUCAUCCAUAGCUUCUCCAUUAACUAAGUUAACUCAGAAAAAGGUUAAGUUCCAAUGGUCAAAUAAUUGUGAGAAUAGCUUUUCAGAACUGAAAACUAGCUUGACUACAGCUCCUGUUUUGACUCUACCAGAGGGUUUAGACGGUUAUCUGAUCUAUUGCGAUGCAUCUAGAGUCGGCCUAGGUUGCGUGUUGAUGCAACGAGGUAAGUUUAUAGCUUAUGCUUCUAGACAACUCAAGGUGCAUGGGAAGAACUAUCCAACUCAUGACCUCGAGCUUGCAGCAGUGGUGUUUGCACUUAAGAUUUGGAGACAUCACUUGUAUGGUGUUCACGUAGAUGUGUUCACAGACCAUAAGAGCCUUCAGUAUGUGUUCACCCAGAAAAAGUUGAAUCUUCGCCAGAGGAGAUGGCUUGAGUUCCACAAAGAUUAUGAUAUGAAUGUGCUUUAUCAUCCUAGUAAGGCCAAUGUAGUAGCAGAUGCUCUUAGUAGACUAUUUAUGGGUAGUGUAGCACAUAUUGAGGAAGAAAGGAAAAAACUAGCAAAAGAUGUUCACAGGCUUGCUCGCUUAGGAGUUUGUCUUAUGAGCAUAUCAGAUGGUGGUGUAAUAGUACAGAAUGGGUCAGAAUCUUCAUUGGUAGCGGAUGUUAAGGAAAAGAAAAAUAAUGAACCUAUAUUGCUUCAACUAAAGUGUCAUGCCCCAAACUCGAGGGGCGCAACUAGCUCCUAAUGCCAAAACUCAGGCCUGAGUUGACCCUGCUGAACCAUUUGCUACUAGCGCAUGGCAGCCACACGCAAUCAAGAAAACAAACAAGUAUAUCUCGGCUUAAAACUAAGCCCUCGACUGGUAAGGCCCCUGUCAACUGAUCUAUAAAGGAAACAACUACUCCCAGGAGAGCAUAUUAAAUAAAUAGCCAACUAGUACAAAAGUCCUGAUUGGGCCGUCGAGGCCACCAUGAUAUCUAUACCAAAACUAAAAGCACGUAUAUAUCAAGUUAAUAAAUCAAACAUCUCACAAGCUUCAGUAAACCAACAAACUAGGAUAGUAUGUCCAUAACAUAGCUAUACACCCCACACACUAGUCUGCAAGCCUCUAAGAGUAGUAAAGAUUGGCGGGACAGGGCCCCAGCCUACCCAUAAACAUAUAUACAACAAAAGGUAACAAACCUCCCAACUCUGGAAGCUCCGGAGGAAAGGGGCUAGCCAAUCGGAUAGAAGUCAAUCAUGCUGCUAAGGAAUCAUCUAAAAAGUAUGACCGUUUUUACCCACGAUGGCUACAUGGUUUAUGGAGACUUGAGUUAUUAUGAACUCGUCCUCAUAUCGGUGCUCAAUACUACUCCCAAAAUAUACUCGGCUCAUAUGUUUUAAAAUAAAACUCUCUCUGUGGUUUGAGAUAAUUACUCAAAAACUAGCUCAAAGGUUCUCUUAGAAAUUGGUGUUUCCUCUCUUGUUUAAAUGUGAAAACAUUUACUCUUUUAGAAAUACAUAGUCUUGGUAUACUCUUUUAAAGAAAAGAACUUUGAUCUUCACUCUUUAUUCAACUCAAAACUCAAGUCUUAAAAUAAAGUUAAAAAGUUUGCAAAAGACUUUUGAAAUGACUCUAAGAACUCUCUAGCCUUGGCUCUUAACUUUCCUUGAAUUUGAAUUUAUGGAUUCAAGGAUUGUGAUUUGUGAUAGGAAGGAUCUCAUGAUGUUUAGGAGUGUUUUUAGAUAGUUAAACGUGAGAAACGAUCAAGAAAUUCCUAUCUAGAAACAAGUUCACGACGCGGAGAUGCAUUUAAUUAUUUGAUCGUGAAAUAAAUUUUGAGGCAGAAUGGUCUGUGACUACUUCGCGAUGCGGAGAAAAUUUUGUCAAUCCUAAGGAACAGGUCCGCGACGCUGACCUGGUACCCAGAUUUGCCCGACUUGUUCCUUCUUCGUUUUCUAACACCAAUUCGCCUAAAUUCGAUUCUUUUUCUCAAUUCCUCUUUAGAUUCAGAUACCCAGCACAUGUACACAAGAAUCUAACUCAAAAAAACUCUAACAAUCAACCUUAAACUCUCAAGAACAAAAGCAAUUCAAGAAUACAACUCAAGAACAUCAAAGUCUCAAUCUUUUAGGACGAAAAUCAUACUGAAAUAAACAUGUUUGGCACGUGGGUGAACGAACCCAACGCUAUGUGAACUCACAUACCUCGUAGGAUUGAAUCUUUGGCGAAAACCACAACCAAAAUCGCAAGAACUUGACGAAUCUUUGAACUUUUCUUCUCCUUUCUCCUCUUGAGUUCUUUCUCCAAUAACCCUAGCGUGAUUUGGUAAGGCAUAAACUGAUCUAACUCUGUUUAGACCCAAAUUAAACUUCUAAAAACGAAAUAAAUUAAUUGGGCAUGGAAAAGACCAAAAUACCCCUUUAAAAUCCGGUUUUAACUUUCAUUAUCUAGACAACUCAACUUCAAAUGGGCAUAUAUCCCUCAUACAAACUCGAAAUCAAGCAAACUCGGAGGCGUUGGAAAGAUAAUUCAAAGAUAUUUCCUACGGUAUCUUGUAGCACACCUAACUUAUCCUGAGCUAGGAGUUAUCGCCACUUGAAGUUGACCCAAACUCAAGCUUAGCAUAACUUUAACAAAUUUUCCAGAUUUUUCAUUCUUUCCAAAAAUAACUCUUUCUAAUUCUAGCUCUUUCACUUAGCGAGGUGUUACAAUCACGAACAUAAUUUGGUACUGUGUACGGAUACAUAUCCUUCUAAAUUAGGACAACCGUAGAAGAUACAUAGCAACACUUGAUACAUGAUAAAUGAUACAUUUGGUAGAACUUUUGUAUUAUCAAUGCUAGUUAAGGAUAUCUAUCAAAACUAAUAUUUGAAUACGAUACAUUGUGAAUGAUAAAAAAUUUAAUGCAUCAUAAUGUUGAAACGAAGACAUUAUACAUUAGUUUAAGAAACAAAAUCAACUAGAUACAUUAAAAAUCUGAACCCAUAUGCAUUAGAAAGGACGAACAACAAAGAAUCGAAAAAAAUCAACAAUUUAAUCUGCUGAAAGCAAAAAAAAAAAUGAUGAAGAAAUCCUCCUACACUUUCAUCAUUGAGGGAGUGAAAAUAUGGAGAGAUUAAGGGAGUGACAAUAGGAAGAGAAACGUGUACUUGAGUGUUGAAGCUUUAUGUAUCUGGAACAUUGGGGUUUGGGAGGAAAAAGAUGGAUUUUGGAAAUAUUUUGGAAUGGUAGGAAUAAUGGAAAUUGUGGAAAAUAAAAGUGUGUAUAUAGGUAAUUUUUCUGAAAAAAUUAGUAUUUGAGCCAAGUUCUAAUAUUUGAAAAAAUUUAAAAAUAAAAAAUCGCCCUAAACUUUUAUAUUUUAUCAAAAAAACACCCAUCACUUAUUAGUUCCAACUAAUAUCUAUCUACCAAAUUACUCCUUUAAUAACUAAUAAAUAUUCCUCUCUAUUAUCUAUAUAUAGAACGUGGCUAAGAGAAAUUUUUGUUUUUAAUAGAUUAUAAUUCAUCCUGAAUUAGUGACAAGUUUGAGUAUGCGAUUAAUAUAUUGCUCUUGUCAUAUUGUUGAUUGUUAUCAUUAUAAGGUUAUUUUUUAACAAAACAUAUUCAUCAUAAAAUGAAAAUUCAACCUUAAAGAUAUUUUAAAUAAUUUUUAGAACUUAUUGAUACAAAUCAUAUUUUUUGAAAUGAUCAAAUGUUUCUUCUGAAAUUUAUGGACAAACGUUGUAUCAACAAUAAUGAUACUUGAUCAUAUAAUUUAUGAUUGGUAAAAGGGUCUGAUAUACCCCUCAACUUUGCCAUUUGGAGCUGAUAUACUCCUUGUUAUGAAAGUAACUCAUAUAUACUCCUAUUGUUAUACAAAUGACUCACAUAUACCCUUUUCUUCUAACGGAAAUGAAAAAAUUAACUUUAAUUUAAUUUUUUAAUUAUUUUUUGGAAAAAAAUAUAAUCCAUAUGGGGUAUAUUUGAUCCUCCUCACAUGUAUUUUUUUUACUUUUUUGUUUCAACGACUAAUUUAAAUUUAUUAUUUUGAUGGUCAAAUAUAUUUAUUUUUCACUAAUUUUCUUGUAAAACUUAUUAUAGAUGCCCAUUUUAUUUUUUUUACAAAUACAAAAAUUUAAUUACAAUAUAGCUGAAAAAAAUAGUUUUAAAUUUUUUCUUUACACUAAAGAAUGACUGAAAAAAAAGAAUAAGAAACUCUAAUAAUGAUAAUCAAAGAAGUCAAAAAAUAAUUUUUGAAUGAAAAAAAUUAAAAUAUACCUUGAACUUUGCUAGAAGGAUCAUAUAUAUAGCCCUACAUGAAUUUUUUUUAAAUUUAAAUUCAAAAAAAUAAAAUUAAAACUAAUUUUUUCACUUCCAAUAGAUGAAGGGUAAUGUAAGCUCCUUUCGUAAUAGUAAGCAGGGGCGGAUCUAUAUGUAUGUGUGGGGUGCCACGGCACCCAGUGAUCUCGGUUAAAAUUUCGUAUAUAUAUGUGUAUAUGUUUAAGAAAUCGUUAUAAAUAAAAGUUGCCACCCAUUGAACGAAUUGGUGAUUGGUGCCGUUGGCAAAAGACACAGAUCCAUGCACCCGCAAUGCAGGUCCAAUUCUCACUCUCAACAUUAUAUUUUGGAUGCUUGUAUGAACUGAAGGCUUUCUAAGCUCUUUUUUUUUUUUUUUUUUCCUGUUUUUUCUUGUCUUUUUUUUUCUCGAUUGGUUCUUAUUUAUUUGGUACUAUUCUUUAUUACGUAAUUUAAAUUGACUCCUUUUUUCUGUGAUUAGUUCUUAACUUUUUUUAUUUUCUCUGUCACUAAUUACUGAUCUCUUGAUAUGAAUAUUAUGUGUUUAUUCUUUAUUAAUUAAUGAGUAUUGUAUUAUGAAAGUCACAUAAAUAUUACUACGAAUAUAUUUAAAUUGUUUUUUUUUUAAACAUAAGUUUUAAAAAAUGAUGAAUAUUAUUAUGUUUGAGUUCUUUUAAUUUUAAGGCUAUUCCGAUCUUCACGUUCUUGAUAAGUAAGAUGGUUGGGUUGAAACCAAUUUUUUCUCUACUAUAUUAUAUGCAACAACACAUAAAGACAAUGAAAUACGAAUAUAUUAAGUUAACACAAUUAGAUGGUUUAUACAAAUUUGAAAUUUUAAUGUGGAAAAUCUUUUCUUCCUCAAAGUUUUAGAGAAUGCCUCUAAAUCCAAAAAAAAAAGUUGAAUUGUUUAGUUAUCUCUAAUCUCAGAAUAACUAAAAGAAAAUAUUACUAACAUGCACAUUUAAUCAAUUUAUUUUAUAAAAAUAAAAAAAGAUAAAUAAUCCAAAUUGUAACCCAAAAUUAAAGGAACCGAUCCGUUUAUCUUACUUGGGUGAUGUGGCACCCACGACCUCUAAAUCCUAGAUCCGCCUCUAACAGUAAGGGUAUAUGUGAGUCAUUUGUAUAAUGAUAAGGGUAUCUAUGAGUUACUUUCAUAACGAGGAGUAAAUGACAAAGUUAAGGAAUAUAUCAGACCCUUUUCUCUUUAUUAUACUAGUAUACGUACCAGCGCGUUGCACGAAUAUUUAAAAAUAUAAUAAUUUUUAAAUUUAGAAAAUAACUAAUACAAAUUAUUAGUGAGUAACAAAAGUACAUGUGUAAUCAUAUAUAAUGUUUUAGUUUAUAUAUAUACGCUUCAUGCUAACACAAUUUUACCAUAAUUUAUAUCAAGUUUGUUUUUUGGCAGUUUUAUUUGACAAAAUUUAACAUAAUUAUUUAUCAAAUAAAAAUUAUGUUUUUCUGGAGGUAGUCUUUUUUUAAAAAAAAAAUCAAACUGAAAAAAUUGUUAAUUAUUUUGAUGAGACAUGUGGCUUUAUUUGCAAAAGUAUGAAUUUAUAGUAUUUUAAAUUUAUCCUUCUUAAGAAAUGAUAAUUCGAAAAUCAUUCUAUUACUAACAUAUUUUAUUUUUUUUACAACAUAGAGAUUUGAAAUAUUUAAAGUCAUUUUUAGAUAUAAUACAUGGAUUCACAAACCUUUUAAUCAUGGCAUGAGUCUGAUCUCUGUCUAAAUAAUUAUACACCAAUACAAAUAUAAAACUUAAUACUAUGUAGAAUUUAAAAAGAUAGAUAAAUAAAGACAAAUAAUAAUACAAAUUACAAAUUAGUAGUAUAAUUUUGAGAAAUUAUAUAAAAUUAUAUAUAAAAAUGAUAUGCAUCAACUCAAUGUUAACAUUUUUUUCCUUUGAAUAUUGUGCUAUUCAUGACGAAGACAGUACUUUUGAAAAGAAAAUUGCUUCAUUAAUAUGAGAAAUUGAAAAAAUAUGAUAGUGCGGAGGAAAGGAAAUGGAAAAGUGGGAAUAGUAGGUGGUUUAUAAAAUUGAUUCUUUGUUUUAUUUAUUUUUUACUUAAUACAUAUGCUCAAAUAAAAUGUUUUCUGUAAUAAUAUAUUAGGUAAGGAUAAAAUUAAAAAGUUAUAACAAUUUGUAACCACUUCAUCUUAUAACACUCUUCUCAAUUUUGAAUUAUUAUUAUUAUUUUAUUAAAAAACAAAACUUAUGCAUUAUUUUUAGUAAAACUAAUUAAAUUAUCAAUUCAAAUGUUAAAAAUUCUAUCAAAGACUUUUAAAAAAUUAUAAUUAUUUAUAAUUAUAUAUUUAUCUUUUAAAACUAAUUAAAUUAUUAUAUUGUUGUAAGUUUUCUAUGACUUAAAAAAUAAUCCAUAUAUAGGCCAGGCCACACGUAGGCAGUGGGAGAAUUGUUGUUGUUGUUGUUGUUGUUGUUGUUGUUGUUGUUGUUGUUGUUGUUGUUGUUGUUGUUGUUGUUGUUGUUGUUGUUGUUGUUGUUGUUGUUGUUGUUGUUGUUGUUGUUGUUGUUGUUGUUGUUGUUGUUGUUGUUGUUGUUGUUGUUGUUGUUGUUGUUGUUGUUGUUGUUGUUGUUGUUGUUGUUGUUGUUGUUGUUGUUGUUGUUGUUGUUGUUGUUGUUGUUGUUGUUGUUGUUGUUGUUGUUGUUGUUGUUGUUGUUGUUGUUGUUGUUGUUGUUGUUGUUGUUGUUGUUGUUGUUGUAUUUCUUAUUGUUGUUGUUGUUGUUGUUGUAUUUCUUGUUGUUGUUGUUGUAUUUCUUAUUGUUAUUGUUAUUAUUAUUAUUGUUAUUAGUAUUAUUAGUAUUAUUAUUAUUAGCAUUAUUAUUAGUAUUACUAUUAUUAGUAUUAUUAGCAUUAUUAUUAAUAUUAGUAUUAUUAUUAUUAUUAUUAGUAUUACUAUUAUUAAUGUUAUUAUUAUUAUUAUUAUUAUUAUUAUCAUUACUAUUAUUAUUAUUAUUAUUAUUAUUAUUAUUCUCCCCCUUAUUAUUAUUAUUAUUAUUAUUAUUAUUGUUAUUAUUAUUAUUGUUAUUAGUAUUAUUAGUAUUAUUAUUAUUAGCAUUAUUAUUAGUAUUACUAUUAUUAAUGUUAUUAUUAUUAUUAUUAUUAUUAUUAUUAUUCUCCCCCUUAUAAUAAAAAUGGAUGAUCAAAAAUGUUAAAAAUAAAUAAAUUUUAAAUUUUAAAUUAAUUCUUUUCAAAAUUAAUUAAUUUACCUAAGAAUAUAUACUAUCCAUAAUUGAAUAACCUUCUUAUAUGUUGCAUAUUUUAUGUUCUUGAACCUUUAAUUUUUUAAAGAGAUAUCCAUUUUUAUUUUUAUAAUUAUUUAAGAUUAAAAUAGAUUAUUAAUUUUUGGCGGAAUGGCCUAAGAGUCCCUUGUACUUGACUCGAUUUGUAAGUUGGAUCCCUAUACUUACGACUUUGCCAACUAAACCCUUAAACUCAUUCAAACACAAUAUUUUAGACCCCUUUCUCAUUCGAUGGGUGUGCGUGUAGUACACUCAUUUUACACAUGAAAUACCACGUCAUUUUUUAAUGACACAUCAUUAUCAUUAUUAUUUUUCUAAUGACACAUCAGAAAUUAAAUAUUUAAAAAGAAAUAAAAAAAAUUUUAAAUGCAUCUCUCUCUCUCACUCACUCACUCACUGUACUCAUUUUACCCCCUUCCCACUUCAUCUUCUUUGUUCCCACCUUCUACCAUUUUCAUCCCAAAAAUAAAAACUACAAUUUUCAUCUUUCUUCAUAGUUCACACUUAAAAAUUUCUUCAAUCACAAAAUGUGAUAGAUUAUAAUUAGUUCUUGCAAAUGCUUUAGGAUUCUAUUUAUUUUGAUUUGAUAAAAAGAGAUAUCAAGAAAACUUCAAAUUGAAAAAAAUAUGUGUACAUGUAAAUUCAAGUAAUAGAUCUUAAAGAAUUAAGUUUAUAAAAAUGGUGAAUAAUAUAUUUUCUUGCAAAAAAAAAUUUUAAUUUUUUAUUUGAUGAUUUUAUUGUGAUAAUGUGUACGUCAAAGAUGAAGAAGAAGAAGAGAAAAGGAGUAGGGGCGGGGUAGGGUGGGGAUGGGGGCUGAGGUUGAAGAAGAAGAAGAGAAAAAGGGUGGAGUUGGGUGGGGGCUGAAGAAGAAGAAGAGAGAAGGGGUGGGGUGGAGUGAAGAAGGAGGUUUUCAAUAUUUUUUUAAAAAAAUUAUUAUUAUUGUUUGUCUUAUAAUUUGAUAAAUUUUAAAAUAAAAAUAUUGUAUUCACUUGCUUCAAAAUGCGUGGGGUCACGUAUUUGUCCAACAUAAGCUCGGACAAUGAUUAGAGGGGUUUAAAAAAAUAGAGUUUCAUUGAGUUUAAGGGUUCAUUUGGAAAGGUGAUGAGUAGAAGGGUUCAACUGACAAACGAAGCCAAGUACAGAAGCCUCCCAGGUGAUUCUGCCUUAAUUUUUUCGUGUUUAUUAUUUUGAGUGGAGAUAAAUGAAUUAUUAUGUGCCUAUGAUUUAGGAGAAGAGAUUCUACACUUCUAGGAGUAUUUAAUUAUUAUUUUUUCUUAAAACGUAGCUAUUAAUUAAUUACCUCAAUUUUUGAAAUUCAUCAUUAAAUUAGUGCUCAGAAAUUUAAAACUGAUCUCAAAAAUUUUAAAAAUUAAUUGUAAUAACUUUUGGAGAUAAAUUAAUUAAUUUAAUUGUUAUAGGAGAAAAAAGUUAAUCUUGUAAUUGCUAUUAAUAAUGGGUAAAAAAAGUGAUUUACUCUAUUGUAGUAAAUCAUUUAGUGAGUAUAGAAAUAAAUUUUAAAUUAUAUUGUAUUGAAUAUUUAUGUAAAACAUUGUUAAUAGUAUUCAUAUAGAUUAUCAAAAAUGUAAAAUUAGAAAAUAAAAUCUCAUUAAAUAUAUAAACAAUAAUUAUCAACUUAAAGAUAUUAAGAAGCAUGAGAUCUUUACCACAUUAUGAUAUAUUUUCCAUUAAUAAAAUAAAAUAAAUACAUAGAUUUGGUUAGCUUAUAGAUGAACUUUUGGUAAAUAACUUUUUUUUAUAUUGAGUCUUUAUCUAAUAAUAUCAAUUGCAUCAACAACAAAAUAAACAAUAAUUUUAUAAGAUAUUAUUAUAUUAUCAAAUGAAUGCUACACUUUCAGUAUGUGUAGAUAAUAACUUUGACAAUAUUUCAAAAAUAAGAAUAAAAUUCAGAUUCAAAUUCAAGAAAUUCACACACUAAUCAACCUGCAAAAAAAAAAGUUACAAUCAUUAAAAAUAAUUAAUAAAAAUAGAAAAAAGAAUCAACAAAAAUUAACGAUUUACAAUAAUUAUUGAAAAUAGAUUUUAAUGCUUAAAAAGUUGCAAUAGAUAAAACACAUACACAAAUCUCAUGAUAGUGUUAAUUCUAUAUAUGAAGUUUAUUAUAGUGAUUUUUGUCUCAACAACUACGAAGUCACAUUAAAAGAAGGAGCAAAAUUAAAUCGUCAAAAGAAAAACGAAAAAACGAUAUCAACUUUAAGUAGUAUUUUUCAACAUUUCAAGGAUAAAGAAUAAUAUCAAUUCAACUAUAUAAUUAAAACGACAGAUUAAUUAAAAAUAUUGUAAAUUACUUCUAGUGAUUCGGAAUACCAUAAUCAUAUAACACGAAUAUUCAACUUUUAUUGUAUCUUCAAUAGUUCAUGGACAAAAUAAUUAUGUAAAACUAUAAUUUAUUGAAUACAUUAAAUAAUUAUUAUUUUUUAUGUGUCAAGCUGUAUUAAUUAUACAAAAAUCUUCAUAUUAUCUCACAUCUUAUAUAAACAAAUAAUUAGAAGAGAAUAUUCAUAAAAUUGCAUGGUUUUCACAACAUACAAACGUGGAAAUAAAAUAACCGGCAAAAUUCAAUUUCUAUUCAUGCGAAAUUUGAUCACAUUGGAAUACUUUAUAUACUUUUAUAAAUAAAAAAAGUUAAGGAAGAAACGUAUUCACCAAUAGAUAGAAGAACUAACUAACAUGAAUUAAAGAGAUAUUUAUAAUAAUAAUAAAAAUUAACCUGAAUUAUUUGCUACACAUCUGAAACAUUAAUAAGUAAAAUUCAUGGAGUUUCAUCGUUCAUCUCUUUUUCUGCCAUUUGAAAAUUUUGAAUAUUAGCAUGUCCUAUGAGAUAUGAAGAGAAUUGUGUUUUAAAUAGAUAACUAAGAAGUUUAAACUCCUACAAAAUAGUGAGGAAGUUAAAACUAUUUUCACAACUGCAACUUUUAUCUCUAAAACCGUUUAAUAUUUAAUUUUUAAAUUCAAGUCUUUUAAUUAUUUUAAAAAAACGUGUGUAGGUGUGUUUAUGAGUUAGUGGAGAUUUUUUUUUUAGUUGAGAGAUGGUUUAAAAAAUGUGUUACAACUCUAUUUUUUUAUUACUUCAAUUUUUUUAAUCAGUAAAUAUAGAAUAUAUAUAUUAUAAGUUGUAUUUUUUAAAAAUAUAUAUGUUUAUUUUAAAAUGCAAAUAAGAAAAAAUAAACAGUUACCGUGUUUAAGAUAAUUUUUAAAAUGUUUAAAAUUUUGUGUAUCAAUAAAAAUGGUUUUGCAGUUACAUUUCCCUUAUUUUAAAAAUUAUUUUAAAAUUAUAUAGAUUUAAUUCAUUUUAGAUAUAUAAAAAAUACGCUUUUUGUGGUGCUGACAUGUAGGCGCUAUCACCUCUCAUAUUAUAUAUAGAUAGAUACGUGCUUUGUCAAUCGUAUAAAUGCAAGGCGUCAUGCAUGACAAAAGAAUUAUCCUCAAACAUGUUUUUGUAUCUUUCUUUUGUGGGAAAUUAUAUUACAUUCAAACAUGAAAACGGUAGUGAGUUUGAAUUGUAUAAGGAAUAAACAAAUUCAAUUUAUUAUUGUUUUUCAAAAAAGAGAAUAAAUCAACCGUUUGUAACGAACAUGAUUUAAAAACUGUUUUAAAAUUUUAUUUAGUUUUUAUAUUAUUGUUUAUUAUUUAAUAUGUAUAGAAAUUAAAUUAUUAUUAAUUAUUUAAUAUAAUUAGAAAUUUUGUAGUGCCGACAUGUGGCACUAUUUCCUCUCCUAUUAUAUAUAGAUAGAUACGUGCUUUGUCGAUCGUAUAAAUCCAAGGCGUCAUGCAUGACAAAAGAAUUAUCCUCAAACAUGUUUUUGUAUCUUUCUUUUUCCUCUUUUUUCAAUCUUUACAUGCUCUUUUUAUGGUACACUUUGAAUAAUGGGAGUGACAGUGCCACUUCAUGCAUUACGUUCCCAUUACAAGGAAACUUCUUUGAUUUUAUUUCUAUUUUUUACAAAAAAAAAAAAAAAAACUUAAUUAAUUAACAUUUUAUAAUUUAAUUGGUGAGUUCAAAUUGUCAUUUAGAGCUGAUAUAUUCUUCGUUAUGAUGACUCAUAUAUACAUCUAGCUAUUGUUACACAAAUGACUAACAUAUACCUUUUACCUCUAACAAAAGUGAAAACAUAUUAAUUUUAAAUUAAUUUUUAUUAAUUUCUUAUUAAAAAAUCCAUGUAGGGGUAUAUUUGAUUCUUCUCACACUUUUUUUUUUACUUUCUAAAUUCAGUGGCUAAUUUAAAUUUAUUAUUUUGAUGGUCAAAUUUUUUUCCACUUAUUUUCUUGUAAAAUUUAUUAUAGAUGUCCCAAUUUAUGUUACGAUAUAAAAAAAAUUAAAUUACAAUAUAGCCGUAAAAAGGUAGUUUUAAUUUUUUUUUCUCCUUUUUCAUUCACACUUUUUUUUACACUAAAAAUGAAAGAAAAAAUGAAAUAAGAAUAAGAAAUUCAAAUAAUAAUAAUCAAAGAAGCCAAAAAAAUAAUUUAUGUGUGAAAAAUCAAAUACAUAAAUAUUUUAAUUAUUAAAAAUAAAAAAACAUUAAUUUAAAAUUAUUAUUUAUCACUUUUUGUAGCGGUAGGGGUAUGUGUGAGUCAAUUUUGUAAUGAUAAAUGUAUAUAUGAGCCACUUUUACAGCGAGAGUUAUACCAGCUCUAAAUGACAAAGUUAACGGUAUACUAGACGCUUUUCCCUUAAAUGUAAUUAGUUACACUCUAUUAUAACAAAUAAAUAUAUAUCUUUAUAUUUGAGCAACAAAUAGAAUAAUAAUAUUUUAAUUUACAUAAUCUAAAAAAAAUUGGUGCGAGGGCAAAUAUAAAUUAUUAAUUUUGAAACUAUUAAAUUUAAAAUAUUACUCUCCAAUCUGUAUUAAGUGAUGUUUUUAGCUUAAACCGAUUCAGGAGAGAAGGUGUGAAACCUAAAAGGAGGAGGAAGACUCCACUUCAAUUCAACGUUCUAAAAUAAUAUAAUAUUGACAAGUACUUACACAUCUUCUACGUAAUUUCCCAAUUUCUUGUAUUAAGUGAACAUAUUCUACAGUUAAGUCAUGCUAUUCACACUUGCUUCUACACUAUACCCCUCACUUUUUGAUUUUUCAUAAAUACCUUGAUUAUUUCACAAUCUUAUUUAUAUAUAUAGAUAUACGUCAGAUUUAAUCUCAAAGGCAAUUAAAUAUUUAAUUGUUGAUGCAUUCAAGUUAUUUUGAUAUGAAAGUGGGCAAUUACUUAUUCUCAAACAAGAAUAAUGAUGGGAAUAGUCAUGAUGAUAAUAAUUCUAGGAAUAAUAAGGCAUCAUCAUUGAGGUUGAGAUUCAAAAAUUCGUGUUUGAGGAAGAAGAAGAGGAUAUACAAAUUGCGUAAUUGGUUCAUUGACUCAAUUUUAUUCAAGAUUGUCUCUCUCUUUGAAGCAAUUGUUAUGGUUUCUACCUUAGCUUUCUUCUUAUUCUCUUAUGGUUUUUGUAUUUGAUAUAUUCUCUGUAAACCAAGGGUUCAUUAUUAUUGGACAAAAGUUGAUAUCUAAUGGGGUGUAAGGUUCAUUUGAUUUAUUUAGUUUUCUUUGCUGAUAUUCUCGUGUUUAUACACUAGGGUUCCCAUUUUGCCGUUCAGUUUUUCGAUUUCGACGUUUUCUUUAUUGUUCAUGACUCAAUAAAAUACAUAAUUCAAUAAAUAAGUAAACAACUUAUAUAUAAUAAAUUCGAAGUAUGAAUUCAAGUAAUUACAACAGUUGGGUUUUAAAAUGUGUCAAUGAGAAAUGAAGAGUUGUGACUUUUAUGAAAGGUUGUGACCUUUCCGAAAGAUUGUGGUUUUUCCAAAAGGUUGUGGCAUUUUCGGUAAGGUACAAUAAGAUCAUUUUCACACUACCCUUUGUUUUAUUAUAAAUUGAGGGAUUUCCUCUCAUUUUAAGAGAACCAAUUUUCUGGACUUCUUCUACUAUUACUACUAAAUCUAGUAUUCUAAGUGUAUAUUAUUGUUGUUGAGUGGUUCGCUGACACCGUAGUUUUAGGUACCAAUACACCGGUAAGUAAGAUCGUUCUAUUCUGGGAGGAUAUAUUUCAUUAACCUCGGGUACUUGAGGGGAAUAAUUUCCUUAAGGGGACACUGUGCAUUCAGUGGACUCAAUUUUCUUCUUUAAGAAAAUAUUUUGUAUAUUGUUUCUAAUAUGUUUCUGAUUCUAUUUUCUCUACUAGUUUUAAUUUUCUAGUUUUGAAAAUACUCUUUAAAUGUUGUUGUUUCUUAUCAAGUUCUUCAAAGUUUUUGUUCUAAGUAUCUUAGGAAUACAACAUGACCAACAAUCUUAAGGCAAUUAGUAUAGUACUAUUAAUACUAGAAAACUUGUCCGCGCUUCGCGCGGUAUAACAAUAAUUUAAAAUAAACUUUUUAUAAAUUACCUAUUCAUGAAAUAUAAGUUGCAGUACUUCAAGUUCAUAUGAUUUUUUUUUUUGCCAAAACCCUUAUAUUCAUAAGUUAUAAUAGUUAAUCAAUAAUAAGAAGGACAUUAAUAUUUUGAUAUAUUAUGUUAGCAAAAUAGAAAAUUAAUGAAUCAGAAAUAAUUUAACAAUCUAAAAGUGAUUACUUUUAAAUCUAUAAUACAAUAUGAAUAAAGCUUGAAUUUUGUAGGUCAUCAACUUUUAUUGAAAAAUAAAAAUAAAACUAAAAGUAUAAUAGUACUAUGAAUGACCCAGUAUCGACUAAAAGCAACAUUGAUAUUAAUUUGCUCAAAUCAAAUAAUAAGAAUAUCGACUAAGAACAACAUUGAUACUGGGUCAUUCAUAGAUUAUUUCUUAUUAUUUGAUCUGAGCAAAUUAAUAUCAAUGUUGCUUUUAGUCGAUACUGGGUCAUUCAUAGUACUAUUAUACUUUUAGUUUUAUUUUUAUAUUUCAAUAGACAUUUAAGAACAGCAUUGAUAUACUUAUAACAUAUAGAUAUCGAUCUUUAGUAGAAGAAAUAAUCUAAGAAUUCAAAAUAAAACGAUAAAUCAAAUUCUAUUUAUAUAUUAAAAAAAUACAUUUUUUAUGCAGUUUAUGACAAUUAAUUUUUGAAAUAAAUAAAGAAAUAAAAAAGUAAAAAGAAAAAAGAAAUGAUUUAAGGAAAUGAUACACAUAACAUUAUUGAUGAAUUUAAGGAAAGAAAUUUAAAAAAUUAAUAGCAUCAAUGAUGAAAUGAUUUAAAUAUGGGCGUAUUUGAUAAUUCAAUAAGGUUUUGAGGUAGAAUUUUUAGUCUUUCCAAAAUUUGGAAAAGUAUAAAAAAAAAUAGAAAAAUAAUAAAUAAACUUCCACAUAAUUUUUAACAAUUAGUAAGGAAAAUAUAACAGAAAAUGUCAAAAAAAAUUGAUUAAAAUAAACAAAUAUCUGAAAUAAGAAGGUUGUCAUCUUUUUCUAAUUUUAAUUUUAUUAUUACGCAUAUAUAUGAAUCUUUAGCCGAAAGAAGCGAUAUAAAUUAAAAAAGUUAAAUUUCAUAAAAAAAAAAUAUAUGUGAUUCUUACCAUGUUAUAAUUACUAAUUUCUUGUAAAAAAUAAAUUAAAAAAGGUAAAAGAAUUAUAAAAAAAAAAAGCAUUAAGGAAAUGAUAUGAAUGAAAGUAAUAAUCAAGAUGAAGUAAGAAAAAAUAAUAUGAUUGAUGAUGAAUGGAAUUAAAUGUAGUCACUUUGAUAUUCACUAAAAUUUGAAAGUAAAAUUUUCAGUUUUUUAAAAUAAUUCUUUUUAUAAAAUUUAAAAAACGAAAAAAAAACAAUAAAAUAAAACAAACUUCAAUCAAAGUUAUAUUAAAGAAAUAAAACAAACUUCAAUUAAAUUUCUUCAAUUAAAGUUAUAUAAAAGGGAAAAAAAACUACAAUUAAAGAUAGAUAGGGAAAAAACAUUUUAAGAGAAAAAUAACAAAAAAAAACGGAAAUUAGAAAUAAAUGACAAAUUAAAGUCUAUUUCUGUAUUAAAAAAUGCAUUUUUUAAAAUAAAGUUAUAACAAUUAAUUUUUAAAAUAAAUAAAUAAAAAGAACAAAGAAAGGAAAAAAUUAAUUUAAGGAAAUGAUAUAAAUUACAUUAAUGAUGAGUUUAAGGAAAGAAAAUUUUAAAAAUUAAUAGCAUCUAUGAUGAAAAGGAUUUAAAUAUGGUCAUAUUUUGAUAUUCUGCAAAAUUUUCAAGGUAAAAUUUUCAUUAUUUUUAAAAAAAUAGGAAAAAUGCACAAAAUAAGAAUUAGAAAAAUAAAUAAAUAAACUUCUAGACACAAUUUUUAGCAAUUAUUUUAAGAAAAUAUAAAGAGAAAAAUGUCAUAAAAAUAUGAUAAAAUAAAUAAAUAUAGGUUGUCAUCCUUUUCUAAUUUUAACUUUAUUAUUACGUAUAGAUAUGAAUCUUUUAACAGAAGAAAUGAUCUAUGUUUAAAUAAAAUAAACUAAAUUUCGUAAAAUAUAUAUGCAAUUCUUACCAAUUUAUAAUAACUAUUUUCUUGUAACAAAAAAAUAAAUAAAAAGUAAGAAAGAAAGAAAGAGAAAAAAGCAAUUUAAAGAAAUGAUAUAAAUGAGAAUAAAGAGAUCAAACUAAGGCAAGGAAGUAAAAAAAAAGUAUGAUUAAUGAUGAAUGAAAUUAAAUAUUCAAUAAAUUUGAAAGUGAAAUUUUCAGUCGUUUAAAAUUAAAAAAAAUAUAUUAAAUUUAAAAACAAAAACAAAAAACUACAAAAAUAUAGACAAACUUCUGUUAAAAAUAUAUAAAAGAUAAUAAAACAAACUUUAAUUAAAGAUAGAUAAGGAAAAAUAAAUAAUUAUUAAUUUUGAAUCUGUCAACUUAAAAAUGUUACUCCCUUAAGUCAUACUAGGUGAUGUUUUUAGCUUCGAUAAAUCUAAAAAAGCAUGUGAAAUGUCAUUAAAAAAAUAAUUUAAUUCAACGAUAUAAAAUAAUAUUAACAAGUACGUACAUAUCUUCUACGUGAUUCCCACUUUCUUUGAAUUCACUAUCUCUUUCCUAAAGGGUGCAAUUAAGUCAUGCUAUUCAUAAAGGGUGCAUCCAGCCCCCCACUUUUGAUAAUUCAUAAAUACCUUUUUUCCACAACCUUAUAUAUAGGUACACCAAAACCCCCUCAUUGCCUCAUCAAACUCAUCAUCUAUAUUGUUCUAUAUCCAAAGAAACAAACUAAGUCAAGAAUCCAAGUGAAAAUAGUUGUUACAUUCAAGUUAUUUAGAUAUGAAAGCAGAAGGUUAUUUGUUGUCACUCAAGAUGCUAAACAAGAACAAUAUUGAAAAUAUUAGCGCGCCUAAACGUGUUAGCAAUGUUGGUGGUUCUCAAGAUGAAAAUAAUUGUAGUACUAAGACAUCAUCGUUGAGGUUGAGAUUCAAGAAUUCGUGUUUGAGGAAGAAGAAGAGAAUAUACAAAUUGCGCAAAUGGUUCAUUGACUCAAUUUUAUUCAAGAUUGUCUCUCUUUUUGAAGCAAUUGUUAUGGUUUCUACCUUAGCUUUCUUCUUAUUCUCUUAUGGCUUUCGUAUUUAAUUCUUAUUUGUAUCUAUAUAUAUUCUCUGUAAACAAGGCUUCAUUUUGGACAAAAGUGGAUAUGUAAUGGGGUGUAAGGUUCAUUUGAUUUAUUAAUUUAGUUUUCUUUAUUGAUAUUCUCAUGUUUAUACACUAGGAUUCCCAUUUUUCGAUUUAGACAUUUUCUUUUUUGUUCAUGACUCAAUAAAAUGCAUACUUAAACAAAUAAGUAAAUAACUUAUCUCCCCCUUGGAUCAUUCGUCCUUGAAUGACGGCUGAACUGGGUAUGGAAUGGGGUUACUCUUAUCAUCUCCUCUGACCCAUGAACUUGUGUAACGACCUAUUCUCGUCGUUAUAAAAAAAUCAACGGGGAAAAAUUUUGGGCCGGAAAACUUUUUCGUAGUAUCUUGUGAUUUUCCAACCUAGUCCAGAUUUAAACGAAAUCAGAGUCAUUAAAGUAUAGGGAAAUCUGGUAACAAUUGUGUGGUCCAAUUUUGAAUUUGAUCACAUCAGUGGAUAGCUAAGACGUUAAGGAAUUCGUACGACUUUACAGAAUUGAAUUCAGGCAAGUAGAACUUCCGAAAUUGACCUUAGCGUGAACGGGUAUUCUCUAAGUGUCAUGGGAUGAAGGUGGGUAGUGAAAUGGGAGUUUGGAAUUCUUAAAUCGACUCACUGGUCCGUGCAAGCCGCUAAGGCGGGAUUAUUCCCGCUAGGGCAGGGCAACUGUAGUGGGGUGAGUACCGCUGUGGCGAGACAGUCGCGACUUAAAGUCGGAAAUAAACCCCAAAAUCAUUUAUUCUGCAAUUUCGAACUUGAGAGCUAAGGAACGAACCCAGGGGUUUUCUUGACAGUUUUCCACCAUUCUUGAGGCUAAAGGUAAGAUUUUAACUCCCCGAAUCCGUUUUUCGACCGUAGAACGUAAUCUAAUGGGUAAUUAUCGAUGGGGGAUGGUUUUGAUCUGGAAAUUAUGGUGGAAAAAGGCCUAAUCUGGGUAUAAGGAUCAUGGGUUUGAUCUAGGGUUGAUAGGAUUGUUGGUAAUCCGAGUAAUUAGUUAUUGUUUAUUGAUUUCCGUGUUAUAAUGAUUAUUUGUAGACCAAGACAAGUGGAACGAAUCCGGAAAGGGAAGGAUCAAGUUUCUUAGGGGAUUCAAGGUAGGUGAUGUAUGUUUGUUCUUGCUUUAUUAUGAUACAUGUUUGUAUACAAAUGUUGCAUUAUUGAUCACAUUAAUUUUAAAUAAGGAUAGAUGAAUGAUGAAUUCCAUGAAUCAUGACUUGAUUGUAAGAUUGUGAGAAUGUACUUUGUGAUUGUGAUUGUGGCUUAUUGAAUGGAUCAGGUGUUGCGUUCCGACACACUAACUUGGAUCGAUUGCCACGUUCUAGCAUAAUUAUGUGAUCGGUUGCCACGUUCCGGCAUAAUCAUUGGAUUGGGUACCACGUUCCGGUAUGCGAACAGUUUGGGUUUGGGUUCCAUGAGAGGACCAUUGACUUGACAUAACUGUAUAAUUGAGACUUGUGAAAUGCUCCAUUGUUAUUUAAUGUUGUUGAUAUUGAAUAUAUUCGGUAUAUGCAUGUUAUUAUAUUGUUGUAAUGGCUUAUGUAUGUUGCACUUGUGGGAUAGCCGCAUGAUCCUACCAGUACACUGUGGUUUUGUACUGAUACUGCACUUGCUCUUUCUUUGUUGAGUACAUGACAUCUUCAGGUAGCUAUUAACAGACCUCGCUUCAAGGGUGAGCCAGUUCUUCUAGGCUGCCAUGAGUUCUCUUUCUGUCUAUGUCCAUAUUUCGGACUUAGACUAGUUCUUUAGUUAGUCUUAUGUUUAGUUUGGGGUUGUAUUCCUUCUUAUUUAGACUCAUGGUUGAACUUUAGAUGUUUUGGUACGUUGACUUUCAGGUUCUUGGCGUAUUUUUCCGCAUUUGUUUAGUUGUUAGACUAUUUUUUGGAGUUUAUGGGAACUCUAUAUUCCUUUCCUUAGCAUUUAACUUGUUUUCGUAACUUAAAUGCCUUAGUAUUUUGGUUGCGUUGUUAGUUUGGGUUGUAGUAAUGGUUCUCCCACUGGAGGAUUAGUGUAGGUGCCAAUCACGAUGGUCUGGGUCGUGAACAAGUUGGUAUCAAACCCCUAGGUUCGUUGAUCUUGAUAUACCAAAACGAGUUUAGUAGAGUCUUGCGGAACGGUAUAUAGACGUCUAUACUUUUCUUCGAAAGGCUAUAGGACUUUAGGAAAUCUCUCUAUUUUCUCUUGACUCCUUUCGUGCUAUAACUUGAUUCCAAUUGGUAUCUGUCGAUUCGAAUUGGUAUCUAACCUCUUUCACUCUUCUGUCCGCAGAUGGUUAACACUAGAUUCAACAGCGUCAGGCUCGUAGCUUCCAUCAAUGCUCUAGCUGAGGAAUCUGCAGCAAAAGGUCCUGGUCGAGGCAGGGGUAGAGGAAGAGCUAGGGGUAGAGGCCGAGGAAGGGUGGCGCCUACUAUGGAUGGAGCACCGGUUGGAGAUGCUCCCAGAAAUGAGUCCCCUCCUGCGCACCAUGAAGAGGUAGAGGAGAACAUGGAAGUUGAGAAUGUUGGACAAGAGGAAGAGGUGCAGGCUGAGACUACAGGUAUUCCUCAUUUGGACCCAGUGUUAGCUCAAAAUAUUAUGUCGUUCUUAAAAGGAUUGGUUGGUCCUGGAGUGCUUCCCUCUGUUCAAGCAACUCAAGCUCCCGCCAAUCCUCUUAUUUCUAUCACUGUCCCAAGGUGGGUGGAACUGGAGGUAAUGAUGAUUUCUUCCAUCCUUUGUUGGGUCCAAUUAUGACUGGUAAUGAGCAUGAGAUGUUGACUAAGUUCUUGAAGUUGAAACCGCCUGUGUUCCAUGGUUCUGAGAGUGAGGAUGCAUAUGAGUUCAUCCUAGAUUGCUAUGAGAUGAUUCAUAAGUUGGGAAUUGUCCAUCAACAUGGGGUUGAGUUCGUGACUUUUCAGCUUCAAGGUGAGGCUAAGCAGUGGUCAUUCGCUAGUUAGUAAGGCACAAGGGGGUACUAAGACUCCUACAUGUGCUAAGUAUAGUAGAAACCACUCAGGGAUGUGUCGUGAUGACUCCACUAGUUGCUUUCAAGUGUGGCCAGAACGGUCAUUUUAUGAGAGAGUGUCCUAAGAGUAUGCAGGGUAACGGUAAUGGGGGUAAUAGAGCCCAGUCUUCUUCAGUUGCUCCACCAGACAGAGCUGCAUCUAGAGGAGCUAAUUCAGGGGCAAGCGGAGGAGGAAAUCGUCUGUAUGCUAUCACUAGUCACCAAGAGCAAGAGGAUUCACCAGAUGUUGUCACUGGUAUGAUCUAAGUCUUCAAUUUUGAUGUUCUUCCUGAGCAACUUCUUGAGCCUUCAGUGUUUCUACACCUGAUGGUGAGUCUAUUCUAGCAGAAAGAGUCUAUCGUGAUUAUUAUGUUUCCGUCAAUCACAAGAGUACCAUGGUUGAUUUAGUUGAGUUAGACAUGGUAGAUUUUGAUGUCAUUCUAGGUAUGGACUGGCUGCAUGCCUGUUAUGCAUCAAUAGAUUGUAGAACUCGAGUAGUUAAGUUCCAGUUUCUAGUGAACCAGUUAUAGAGUUGAAGAGCAGUUCAGCAGUGCCUAAGGGUCAUUUUAUUACGUACCUUAAGGCGAGAAAGUUAGUUUCCAAUGGGUGUGUCUAUCACUUAGUCCGAGUUAAUGACAUAAGUGUUGAGAUACCUCUUAUUCAGUCAGUUCCUAUAGUAAAAGAGUUUCCAGAAGUCUUUCCAGAUGAUCUACCCGGAGUCUCUCCUGAGAGAGAGAUAGACUUCGGUAUAAAUGUUCUUCCAGAUACUCGUCCUAUAUCUAUUCCGCCAUACAGAACGACACUAGCAGAGUUGAAAGAGCUUAAAGAGCAGUUGAAAGAUCUUUUAGAGAAAGGUUUCAUUCGACCAAGUUUCUCACCUUGGGGAGCUCCGGUCUUAUUUGUGAGAAAGAAAGAUGGUUCCCUUAGGAUGUGUAUAGAUUACCGCCAGUUGAACAAGGUUACCAUCAAGAAUAAGUAUCCUCUUCCGAGAAUUGAUGAUCUUUUUAUCAACUUCAGGGUGCUUCUUGUUUUUCUAAGAUAGACCUCAGAUCUGGCUACCAUCAGUUGAGAGUAAGGGAAUGUGAUAUUCCAAAGACAACAUUCAGGACCCGUUAUGGUCAUUAUGAGUUCUUAGUUAUGUCCAUUGGUUUGACCAAUGCGCCUACAACAUUCAUGGAUCUUAUGAAUAUAGUAUUCAAACCUUAUUUAGAUAUGUUUGUUAUCGACUUCAUCGAUGACAUACUAAUAUAUUCAAGGAAUANNNNNNNCCUCUUCCGAGGAUUGAUGAUCUUUUCGAUCAGCUUCAGGGUGCUUCUUAUUUUUCAAAAAAAGACCUCAGAUUCGGCUACCAUUAAUUGAAGGUAAGGGAAUGUGAUAUUCCCAAGACAACAUUCAGGACCCGUUAUGGUCAUUAUGAGUUCUUAGUUAUGUCCAUUGGUUUGACCAAUGCGCCUACAACAUUCAUGGAUCUUAUGAAUAUAGUAUUCAAACCUUAUUUAGAUAUGUUUGUUAUCGACUUCAUCGGUGACAUACUAAUCUAUUCAAGGAAUGAAGAAGAUCAUGCUAGCCAUCUCAAGAUAGUUAUUCAGACUUUGAAAGAUAAGGAGUUAUAUGCUAAUAAGUUCUUUAAAUGCGAGUUUUGGCUUGAGUCUGUGGCAUUCUUGGGUCACAUAGUUUCCGGUGAUGGAAUUAGAGUUGAUACCCAAAAGAUAGAGGCAGUGCAGAGUUGGCCUAGACCCACAUCUCCAACUGAUAUUAUGAGUUUCUUAGGUUUGGCUGGAUAUUAUAGAACGUUCGUAGAGGGGUUCUCGUCUAUUUCGUCCCCUUUGACCAAGUUAACUCAGAAAACAGCGAAGUUUCAAUUGUCUGAAGCUUGUGAGAAAAGCUUUCAGGAAUUGAUAAAGAGGUUGACUACUGCCCAGGUUUUGACGCUACCAGAAGGUACUCAAGGUUUUGUGGUGUAUUGUGAUGCAUCUACAAUUGGCUUGGGUUGUGUAUUAAUUAAUGCAGAAUGGUAAAGUUAUAGCUUAUGCCUCCAGACAGUUGAAGAAAAAUUACCCAACCCAUGACUUAGAGUUGGCUACCUUAGUAUUUGCUUUGAAGAUAUGGCGUCAUUUGUAUGGUGUUCAUGUUGAUGUAUUCACUGAUCACAAGAGUCUUCAAUAUGUGUUCACUCACAAAGAGCUUAAUCUCAGACAAAGGAGGUGGUUAGAAUUACUCAAGGAUUAUGACAUGAGUAUUCUUUACCACCCAGGUAAGGCUAAUGUUGUUGAUGAUGCUUUAAGUAGGUUGUCUAUGGGUAGUACUGCCCAUGUGGAGGAGGAAAAGAAAGAGUUAGCGAAAGAUGUGCAUAGACUUGCACGCUUAAGAGUCCGACUGAUGGAUUCCACAGAAGGAGGAGUAGUGGUGAUGAAUGGGGUUGAAUCAUCAUUAAUGUCAGAAGUAAAAGAGAAGCAAGACCAAAAUCCCAUUUUGCUUGAAUUGAAGGCAAAUGUUCAUAAGCAGAAAGUUAUGGCUUUUGAACAAGGGGGAGAUGUCGUACUGCGAUAUCAAGGUAGAUUGUGUGUACCAAUGGUGGAUGGACUCCAAGGGAGGAUCAUGGAGGAAGCUCAUAGCUCUAGAUAUUCCAUUCACCUGGAUUUCACAAAGAUGUAUUGUGACUUGAGAGAGGUAUAUUGGUGGAAUAGUAUGAAGAAGGGCAUUGCAGAAUUUGUUGUUAGGUGUCCAAAUUGCCAACAAGUUAACGUAGAGCAUGAAAUGCCCAAUGGUUUGGCUCAGAAUAUAGAACUUCCGGAAUGGAAGUGGGAGAUGAUAAACAUGGAUUUCAUCACAGGCUUGCCAAGGUUUCGCACGCAUCAUGACUCCAUUUGGGUGAUUGUUGAUAGAAUGACAAAAUCAGCCCACUUUUUGCAGGUAAAGACUACCCUUUCAACAGAAGAUUAUGCCAGGUUGUAUAUUCAGGAGGUGGUAAGACUUCAUGGAGUCCCUGUUUCGAUUAUAUCAGAUAGGGUGCUCAAUUUACUACACAGUUUUGGAAGUCAUUCCAGAAAGGCCUGGGUUCAAAGGUGAACUUGAGUACUGCUUUUCAUCCUCAGAUAGAUGGUCAAGCAGAGAGCACUAUUCAGACCUUAGAGGAUAUGUUGAGGGCAUGUGUGAUUGAUUUCAAAGGUAAUUGGAAUAAUCACCUACCCCUUAUUGAAUUUGCAUACAAUAAUAGUUCCACUCUAGCAUCCAGAUGGCUCCACAUGAAGCUCUUUAUGGGAGAAGAUGCAGAUAUCCUAUUGGAUGGUUUGAAGUUGGUGAAGCAGGGUUGAUAGGACCAGAUUUAGUUCAUCAAGCUAUGGAGAAGGUGAAAGUAAUUCAAGAGAGGUUGAAAACUGCACAGGGUCGUCAAAAAUCCUACACUGAUGUUAGGAGAAGGGAGUUAGAGUUUGAAGUAGAUGAUUGGGUAUAUCUAAAAGUCUCACCCAUGAAGGGUGUUAUGAAGUUUGGUAAGAAGGGGGAACUUAGUCCCCGAUAUAUUGGACCUUAUCGAAUAUCCAAGAGGAUUGCCAAGGUAGCUUAUGAGUUAGAGCUACCACAAGAGUUAGUCGCGGUUCAUCCAGUGUUUCGCAUCUCCAUGUUGAAGAAGUCCAUGAGCGAUCCUUCAUUGAUCACAUCAACUGAAAAUAUUGGGAUCAAGGAUAGCUUAUCUUAUGAGGAAAUCCGGUUCAGAUUCUAGAUCGCCAAGUUCGCAAGUUAAGGACAAAAGAGGNNNNNNNNNNNNNNNNNNNNNNNNNNNNNNNNNNNNNNNNNNNNNNNNNNNNNNNNNNNNNNNNNNNNNNNNNNNNNNNNNNNNNNNNNNNNNNNNNNNNNNNNNNNNNNNNNNNNNNNNNNNNNNNNNNNNNNNNNNNNNNNNNNNNNNNNNNNNNNNNNNNNNNNNNNNNNNNNNNNNNNNNNNNNNNNNNNNNNNNNNNNNNNNNNNNNNNNNNNNNNNNNNNNNNNNNNNNNNNNNNNNNNNNNNNNNNNNNNNNNNNNNNNNNNNNNNNNNNNNNNNNNNNNNNNNNNNNNNNNNNNNNNNNNNNNNNNNNNNNNNNNNNNNNNNNNNNNNNNNNNNNNNNNNNNNNNNNNNNNNNNNNNNNNNNNNNNNNNNNNNNNNNNNNNNNNNNNNNNNNNNNNNNNNNNNNNNNNNNNNNNNNNNNNNNNNNNNNNNNNNNNNNNNNNNNNNNNNNNNNNNNNNNNNNNNNNNNNNNNNNNNNNNNNNNNNNNNNNNNNNNNNNNNNNNNNNNNNNNNNNNNNNNNNNNNNNNNNNNNNNNNNNNNNNNNNNNNNNNNNNNNNNNNNNNNNNNNNNNNNNNNNNNNNNNNNNNNNNNNNNNNNNNNNNNNNNNNNNNNNNNNNNNNNNNNNNNNNNNNNNNNNNNNNNNNNNNNNNNNNNNNNNNNNNNNNNNNNNNNNNNNNNNNNNNNNNNNNNNNNNNNNNNNNNNNNNNNNNNNNNNNNNNNNNNNNNNNNNNNNNNNNNNNNNNNNNNNNNNNNNNNNNNNNNNNNNNNNNNNNNNNNNNGUAUCAAGGAUAGCUUAUCUUAAGAGGAGAUUCCUAUUGAGAUUCUAGAUCGCCAAGUUCGCAAGUUGAGAACAAAAGAGGUAGCAUCAAUCAAAGUCCUUUGGAGAAACCAAUUUAUUGAGGAAUCUACUUAGGAAGCUGAAGAGGACAUGAAGAAGAGAUAUCCACAUCUCUUUGAAUCCAGAGAAAGUGCAGACCAAGGUACUAAUUCUCUUCUUAGUACUCUUUAAAUUAUGAAUAAGCAUGUUGUUUGUUUGCAUUUGCUUGUUAGGUGUUUGAACCUGAUAAUACACCCUUAGCCUAGUAAGAGUAAUCUCAUUCGAGGAUGAAUGUUCCCAAGGGGGAGAUAUUGUAACAUCUCGCAAAAUUGAAAUAACUAGGAAGAAGCCAAUAAUUGGAAAUAGUCAUUUUUGGAAAGAAUGAAAAUCUGGAAAUUUUGUUAAAGUUAGAAUAAGUUGAGUUUUGGUCAACUUCAAAUGGACAUAACUUCUAGAUCAGGAUGAGUUAAGUGUACUUCCAGAUAUGGUAGGAAAGCUCUUGGAAUGAUCUUUCCAACGCCGCUGAAUUUGCGCGAUUCCGAGUUUGUAUGAGUGAGUUAUGCCCUUUGGAAGUUGGGUUGUUGGAAUAAGGAAAGUCCAAUCCGGAUUUUGGAAGGGUAAUUUAGUAUUUUCCUUACCUAAUUAUUCUAAUUCAUUUUUAGGAGUUUAAUUGGAGUAAAGUCAGAUUUUAGUCAGUUUAGAAAAGUGAAUUUUAUGCUAGGGCUUGGAGAAGAGGAGAAAAGAGGACUUGUGGUUUUCGUCGGGGGUGAUCCCUACAAGGUAUGGGAGAUCACAUAGCGUUGGGUUAGUUCACCCACGCGCCCAACUUGAUUCAAUUUCAGCUAAGUAUAUUGAUUUGAAAGUAAAUCCCUUGAAUUCUUGAUGAAGUUCGUUUGAAUCCUUGUGGGUUGUGUAGUUGGAGUUUUCUUGAAAUUGAUUCACGCUAUUCAUUGUGUUUUCGAGUGGAAUCUGAUGUUAUUUGAGGGUAUAAAUGAUUCUAAGUGUUUGGGGAAAGAACCCAUGGAGUUUAAAGGGUUUAGAGCUGUAAAACGAAGAAGAAAAUUUCGUCGGACAAAUCUGGGCAGUGCCUCCGCGUCGCGGACCGUUCUUCCUUAAAAGUUGUUUUCGAAACAAAAAUUUUAAUGUUUCUCCGCGUCGCGGGCCCACCCUCAGACAGUGAAUUUUUUUUAUCUUUUCUCAUGUUUAGCUAUCUAAAUUCAUCCCUAAACAUCAUGAGAUCUUUCCUAUCACAAAUCACAAUCCUUGAAUCCAUAAUUCAAUUCAAGGAAAGUUAAUAGUCAAGUUAGAAGUUAAGAAGUAAGUCAAGAGAAGUUCUUUAAAGCUUUCAAAAGUCUUUCACAAGCGUUUUAACUUUGUUAUAAGACUUAAGUUUUAAGUUAAGCAAAGAGUAAAGAUUUGAAGUUCAUUUCUUCAAAGAAGUAUAUGCGGACUAUGUAUUCCCCAAGAGUUUAAAAUGUUUUCACAUUUGAGCAAGAAAGGGAACAUCAAUUCCAAGAGAGCUUUUAAGCUAAGUUUUUGAGUAAUUAUCUCAAAUCAAAGAAAGAAGUUUGUUUUAAAAACAUAUGAGCUAAGUAUAUUUUAGGAGUAGUAUUGAGCACCGAAAUGGGGAUGGGAGUUCAUAUUAACUCAAGUCUCCAUAAACCAUGUAGCCCUCAUGGGUAGUAAAGGAUCAUACUUUUUAGAUGACUCCUUAAGAUGCUUUUAGCAUAAGCUAGUGGAUCUACUAAGUUAAGCGUUCUAUAUGACGGCAAAGUAUAGGACAGUUCUGGUAGCAUGGGAAAGACGUUGUAUCACCACUUAGACACAUAGUGGUGAUUGUCGGUUAGAUAAUCUCCCACAGAAACUAUAUUACUUUAUUAUAUAAGUAAAGUUGAAUUUCUUAUUGCAUUUUCUUAAACGAACUAAGUUGUUUUCCAUUGUUUUACAAGCUUUAUAUAUACUGCAUGUGUUUAAUUACUUUAUAUUGAGUUGAGUUGUUCAGGAGUUGAGUAAAGUCAAGGUAAGUGUUCCUUCCAGAUUCUUCUCAAGCUUAAGUUGUGUUUAGCAUUCCAACUCGCAUACUCGUACAUACAAUGUAUUGAUGCCAGUCGGCCUGCAUCGUCUUAUGAUACAGACGCAGGUAACCAGGAUCAGCAUCUAGCGCCUCAUUGAUCCAGUUUGAGCACUCAGAGUCUUGUGGUGAGCCUCCUUGCUUCCGGAGGAUUCCUUUUUUUUGUUUUUUAGUUUUAUUAUUAGUUCAUUAGGAUGUCGUGGGCCUAUCCCGACAUCCAUCUCAGUUGUUUAGAGGCUUCAUAGAUAGACAGACAGUCAGUUAGUUAAAUUCAUUUGUCACUACUUUAUUAUUAGCUUAUGUUUUUGAGACUUAAGGUUGCCAUUUUGGCCAAGUUGAAUGUUGACUUUUAAACAUUCUAAGUUAUGAUAUAAUUUAAGUGAGUAUAGUGCUUUUCAUCAUUAUAAAUAUGCAUAUAGUCUUCCGCUGAGUAAGUAAGUCAAACCAAGGGUUCAUUUGGGGCCAGCAAUGGUUCUCGAGUGCCAGCCACGUCCAGGGUGUAGGCUCGGGGCGUGACAGGACUAAUUCUUUAGUCUAGAAGUAACCCGAGAUAGGGCAAGUGAUGAUCCAUGCACUAGUCAUUCGGGGACGAACGAGGGGUAAAUUGGUAUCUAUUGUAAUGACUCAAACCGUCAUUAAUUUGGAAAAACAAAAAUUUGAGAAAAUUACUAGGCCACUGUCCUGCCAGGGCGGGCCAAAUACCGCUAGGGCGGCGGCUCCAUGGCGGGGUAAGCUGGCGUCAGAGCGGGAUAGGUCAGACAGAAUGUAAAUAACGUGAAAUCUUAUUUCUCCUUCUUCCUAGAAUACCUAAUUUAGACGUAAACCACCCUAGAAACCCCCAAAAAGCUGCUCUAAGCUUGGGAAGAAAGGAGAAGGAGAUUUCUAGCGUAAGGAGGUCGAGGGAUUGCAGAUUUCCGGCCAAGAUUCAUGAAGUCCAGAAACAAGAAUCGCAGCCAUAAUUCCGUGCAGCUGCUUGGCGCCCAUGUAGGCUAGGUUUUAUUAAUUGAGUAGUAUAAAUUUGUGCCCACUGCGUAGUAUAAUGAUAAUCAAUGGUAGGAUUCAUGCGCAGGCCUUAGAUAAUGAACUAGGGCUGAGUAUGAUCGAGUUGUUAUUUAAGUGAUAUAUGUUGAGGUAUACUUCUAGGUGAUGGUUGUGAUUUCAUGUUGUGUGAGUUUGUUCGUUCUUGCUUCAUUAUAAUACAUGUAUGUAUGUGAAUGUUGCAUUAUUGAUCACACUAGUUGUAAUGAGAUAGAUGAAUGAUGAAUGCCAUGAAUCAUGACUUAAUGUAUGAUUAUGAGAAUAUACUUGUGAUUGUGAUUGUGGCUUGUUGAAUGGGUCGGGUGUUGCAUUUUGACACACUAACUUGGAUCGAUUGCCAUGUUUUCGGCAUAAUUAUGGGAUCGGUUGCCACGUUCUGGCAUAAUUAUUGGAUUGGGUACCACGUUCCGGUAUGCUAACAGUUUGGGUUUGGGUCCCAUGAGAGGACCAAUGACUUGACAUAAUUGUAUAUCUUGAAAUGGUGAAGUUGUGCAUGGUUCAUAAGUGAUAUUUGAUGUUGUUUCCCCGGAAUUGUAAAUGAUUAUGAUGACUUAUUUAUGUUUGUUCUACUAUGUUGAUUUAACCGUUAUGUAUCUCAUUGUUGAAUGAAACUGAAAGGGACAAGGGUUCAAGAGUGUUAAUGUUGAGAGACAGGGGUUGUCUGUAUGUUGCAAGGGUGAGAAGUUGAGGUAGUGUACAUGAUGUAAAUACUUAGGUGGAUUUCACCUUGGAGAAAGGAGUUCGUGGCUAGUAGUUAGAAAGCUUGAUAUAAGGUACCAUGUGGCAAAGGCUGGGUAAUAUAAAAGAGGAAGUAAGGGUAUGUAGUGGAUGGUUAGUCGGAAUGCUUGUAGUAAUAUUCAUGGUCUCUUCUAUGCGUUAGAAUGGUUAGGCCAUGAUCAAGAAUCUAGUAAGUAGGUUGAAUGAGGAGGUGGUUAGUAGUAAGGGUACUGGGGUAAUUCUGAGGUAUUCAAGAGAGGGUAAAGGUGGAGAAGUGAGUGGUUUAUUGCAUGUUCUUGCUAGUUGAUUACUUAUGUUAUGCAGUAGGCGUCGGGUUGAUCGAUGAUGCCUACCAGUACGUGUGGUUUGUACUGAUACUAUUCUUGUCAUGCCUUUUGGCAUAGUCUGGAUGCAGGUCAAUGAUGUUUCAUUAAGUGAAGACGAAGAAAUCUCCAGCAGCUUCUAUUUUUCCUUCCGCAUGGUGGGAGCUAUGUCUUUUAUCUAUUAUGUCCUGUUUGUACUCUUAGUAGCUCUUGUACCUGUUUCGGCUAGAUCCUUGGAGUGUUAAUUACUUUGCAAGUUUAAACCGGAAUUGUUCUAAAAAGUUCUUAUUUAUAAAACCUUGUUUUUUUUCCUUCAUUUAUUUAUUUAAUCUUCUGCAUGUUUUAACUAUUGGGAUAUGAGGGUUCUCCUACUUAGGUGUUAGAGUAGGUGCCCGCACGCCCCGGUGGGUUGGGUCGUGACACAAUCUCCAUAUAUAUGUAGAUUUUUUGAUAAAAUUUACAAAGAAGGGCCUUAAAUGCCCCUCAAUUAUCAUUUCAAAGUAUAUAACCGCAAGUAGUAGUACUUAUUAACAGAAUAUUAAAGAGACAAUCUCCAUAUAUAUGUAGAUUUUUGAUAAAAUUUACGGAAAAGGGCCAAAAAUGCCCCUCAAUUAUUUCAUUUGGUACAAAAUUACCCUCCAUCCACCUUUCGGCCUUAAAAUACCCCUGACAUUCAUCUUAUUUUUAAUAGCUCCCUUAAAGUAAAACUAUUAAAUAUUUACUUAUUAUGUUACUUAAUAUGUUGGUCCAAAUUUAAACCCUUCUCAAAUAAAUAACAAAAAUCAUAUUUUUAAAUAUUUUUUUUAUGAAACCACAUAUGAUUCAUAUUUUGACUCGAUACACUUGAUAAUAAUAUUGAAAAAAAAAAUUAAUUUCAUGAUAUCUUCCUAUUGAUGUGUUUAAUAUCAACCCCAAUUUAUUAUAACGUAACUCAACUCAAAAAUGGGAUCCAACUAAAAUUCAUACUCACCCUGACAAAUUGUCCAUCUAAAAAUAAAUAUUAUUUUUAUUAAUAUAAAAUUUUCUAUCAAUUAUCCAAAUGUCUUGUUCAUUUUCUCUUUUAUUCUUUUUUUAAAUCUCUUAUUCUUAAUUAGGAUAUCCAGGAAUCAAAUUUGAAAUGAACUCACAUGUUUAUAUUCUUUUAAUUUGUAGUAUUGUUAUGGUGGGGUGAGAGUGGGGAUAAGAGAAAUAAUUAUUUUUAUUCUUUUAUAUUGAAUUUUGGGUACACACAAAAGAAACAUGCAAUAUUCGAAUAUAUUUGCUUAAUUAAGUCAUCUUUUAUUAAACUAAUUAUUUCUAUAUGAAUGCAUCAUUAUUUUCCUCCUUUUUUCUCUCUUGUUUGUAAUAAAUUGAAAAAAAUAAAAUUUAAAAUGCUGGACAAGAUGCAAAUAAAAAAAAAGGAAGAGAUAAAAAGUGGGGGGGAGGGGGGAGGGUAGAGAGUAGAUGCCUAACUUUUUUUAAUUUUAAUUUACAAUGAAUUCAAAAUCAAGUCAAUCAUGUGAGCUUAUAUAUUAAGUAAUUUCAAAUUAUUUUAACGGAAACUGGCCUAAAAUACCCUUAAACUAUGAGAUUUGAUACAAUAUUGUCCUCCAUCCACCUUAUGAAUAUGAUCCGUUAGAAUAAGGGUAUUUUUGAGCCAAAAGGUUGAAGUCAGAAGUAUUUGGGGGCCCAAAUAUGGAUGAAGGGUAGUUUUAAGUUUUAUAUCAAUUUAAAUAGUUGAGAGACAUUUUAGACCCUUCUCCGAAGAAUUUAUUACUAACUUAACCCGUUGAAGUUAUUUUUAUUUAUUCAUUGUGAUAGACAAUUUAUUGUUUUUUCAAUCACAAAUCUCACGUUUUUUAAUGAAAAGAUAUUUAUUAUUAUAUUCUAAGUACCUUAAUAAUGUAAAAAGUUUUAUACUAUAUAUAUAUUAUAUAAAGAAAAGUUAAACUCUAAUAUACCAAGUAAAUAUAUAUCUUUUUCUAUUCGAGUCAUAAUAAUAUAUUAAUUUACAUAAUCUCAAAAAUUUGAUGCAAGAAGAUAUAGAGUUGACAUUAUAUUUCUUUAGAUUAAAAAGAAGAUGAGGGUUGUCAUAGUUUUAGCUCAAACUCAAUUAGUAUCUUAAAAGUUUUAUUAAAUAAGUAUAAAUUAUUAAUUUUGAAUCUAUCAACUUAAAUAUGUUACUCCCUUAAGUUAUAUUAAAUGAUUAAUGAUGUUUGAAGGUUAGAUAAAUUUGAAAAAAAACGUGCGAAACAUCCUUUAAAAAAAAAAGAGAAGAAAUGUCCAAUUAUAACUGUCUAAAAUAAUAUUAACAAGUACAUACAUAUCUUCUACGUGAUUUCCAAUUUAUUUGAUUUCACACUUUCUUCUGCAUCCAGCCCCCCACUUUUGACUAUUCAUAAAUACUACCUUUUUUUUUUUCUAUAUACAAACUAUACAUAAAACCCCCUAAAUUGCCUCAUCAAACUCAUCAUCUAUUGUUCUAUAUCCAAAAAAAAUAUGCAAAGAAACAAACUAAGUCAAGAAUCCAAGUGAAAAUAGUUGUUACAUUCAAGUUAUUUAGAUAUGAAAGCAGAAGGUUAUUUGUUGUCACUCAAGAUGCUAAACAAGAACAAUAAUGGAAAUAUUAGCGCGCCUAAACGUGUUAGCAAUGUUGGUGGUUCUCAAGAUGAAAAUAAUUGUAGUACUAAGGCAUCAUCGUUGAGGUUGAGAUUCAAGAAUUCGUGUUUGAGGAAGAAGAAGAGAAUAAACAAAUUGCGCAAUUGGUUCAUUGACUCAAUUUUAUUCAAGAUUGUCUCUCUUUUUGAAGCAAUUGUUCUGGUUUCUACCUUAGCUUUCUUCUUAUUCUCUUAUGGUUUUCGUAUUUGAUUCUUAUUUAUAUAUAUAUUCUCUGUAAACCAAUGGUUCAUUAUUAUUGGACAAAAGUUGAUAUGUAAUGGGGUGUAAGGUUUCAUUUGUUUUAUUAAUUUAGUUCUCUUUAUUGAUAUUUCUCGUGUUUAUAUAAACUAGGAUUCCCAUUUUGGCGUUUAGUUUUUCGAUUUAGACAUUUUCUUUAUUUUUUCAUGACUCAAUAAAUACAUAAUUCAAUAAAUAAGUAAAUAACUUAUAUAUAAUGACAUUUUGAUUGGUAAUGGUAAGGUUUUUCAAGAACUCAAGUUCUUAGCUUGAAUGAAGAUUUUGAACUGUUUUUGAGUCGAAAUGAUUAUUUUCACCAAUGAGUUCCUAAAGCUUUGAGUAUUGCUUUCAAGUAUUAAAUUUCGAAUUCAAACCUUCCUUUUGAAAUUGAGUUUGAGUGAAUUGACCCAUUGUUCUAAGCAAUUGAUGUGGGUAUUGUUGUUUUCGGAAAGUGAUUGUGAAUAUAUACUUGCUUGUAUAUAGAUUGUGUAGCUUUGGAAGUGAUUCGGAAGGGAAGACCCAACUAUACCUCUAGCUAUUGUUAUACAAAUGACUCACAUAUACCUUUUACCUCUAACAGAAAUAAAAAAUAUUAAUUUUUAUUAAGUGUUUUAUUAAAAAAAUCCAUGUAGCACUACAACAAAAACAACUUUUAGCGAUAAUAAAUAGACAUAUUAAUAAAGAGUGUUAAAGUAUUUACCGGCAUUAGUUAAGUGUCAUUAGAUGCAGUGUCACUAAAGGCUUUAGGGACAUAUACAAAGAGUGUUAAUUACUGCUAAAAAUACAUAUUUAUCGGCAAUUGAGCUAUUGUCGUUAAUUAAUUGUCGCUAAAAAUCAUUUUUGAUGUAGUGUAGGGGUAUAUUUAAUCCUUCUGACACAUUUCUUUUCACCUUUUUAAUUCAAUGCCUAAUUUAAAUUUAUUAUUUUGAUGGUCAAAUUUUUUUUUCCACUUAUUUUUUUGUAAAAUUUAUUAUAGCUGCCCCUAUUUAUGUUACAGGUAUAAAAAAACUAAAUUACAAUAUGGCCGUAAAAAGUUAGUUUUAAUUUUUUUUUCUCUUUUUUCAUUUCUUUCUUUUUAUUUUAAUUUUAAUUUUUUACGCUAAAGAAUGAAAGAAUAAAUGAAAUAAGAUAAGAAACUCAAAUAAUAAUAAUAAUCAGAGAAGUUAAAAAGUAAUUUAUGUGUGAAAAAAUCAAAUACAUAAAUAUUAAAAAUAAUAAAAAAUUAAAUUAUUAUUUUCACUUUUGUAACGGUAGGGAUAUAUGUGAGUAAAUUUUGUAAUAAUAGAUGUAUGUAUGAUCCACUUUUACAACGAGAGUUAUAUCAGCUCUAAAUGACAAAGUUAACGGUAUACUAGACACUUUUCCCUUAUAUGUAAUUAGUUACACUCUAUUAUAACAAAUAAAUAUAUAUCUUUUAUAUUUGAGCAACAAAUAGAAUAAUAAUAUUUUAAUUUACAUAAUCUAAAAAAAAUUGGUGCGAGGGCAAAUAUAAAUUAUUAAUUUUGAAACUAUCAAAUUUAAAAUAUUACUCUCCAAUCUGUACUAAGUGAUGUUUUUAGCUUAAACCUAUUCAGGAGAGAAGGUGUGAAACCUAAAAGGAGGAGGAAGACUCCGCUUCAAUUCAACGUUCUAAAAUAAUAAUAUUGACAAGCACUUACACACAUCUUCUACGUAAUUUCCCAAUUUCUUGUAUUAAGUGAACGUAUUCUACACUUAAGUCAUGCUAUUCAUACUCGCUUCUACACUACACCCCUCACAUUUUGAUUUUUCAUAAAUACCUUGAUUAUUUCACAAUCUUAUUUAUAUAUAUAGAUAUACCAAAACCCCUCAUUGGCUCAUCAAACUCAUCAUCUAUUAUUCUAUCCUAAGAAAAUAUCACAAACUAUUUAGUCUAAGAAUUAUAUUGAUUUGAGUGCUUAUAUAUACGACGUCAUAUUUAAUCUCAAAGGUCAAUUAAAUAUUUAAUUGUUGAUGCAUUCAAGUUAUUUUGAUAUGAAAGUGGGCAAUUACUUAUUCUCAAACAAGAAUAAUGAUAGGAAUAGUGAUGAUGAUAAUAAUUCUAGGAAUUAUAAGGCAUCAUCAUUGAGGUUGAGAUUCAAAAAUUCGUGUUUGAGGAAGAAGAAGAGAAUAUACAAAUUGCGUAAUUGGUUUAUUGACUCAAUUUUAUUCAAGAUUGUCUCUAUUUUUUAAGCAAUUGUUAUUGUUUCUACCUUAGCUUUCUACUUAUUCUCUUAUGGUUUUCGUAUUUGAUAUGUUCUCUGUAAACCAAGGGGUUCAUUAUUAUUGGACAAAAGUUGAUAUCUAAUGGGGGUGUAAGGUUCAUUUGGUUUAUUAAUUUAGUUUUCUUUAUCCAUCAUCUAUCUAUCUAUCUAUCUAUCUAUCUAUCUAUCUAUCUAUCUAUCUAUCUAUCUAUCUAUAUAUAUAUAUAUAUAGGUAAUCCUUGAACUUAAUCGAAAUCUCAGCGACACAUCUUAACUUAACUAAGGUUUUAUUAUCCUCUUAAGCUAUUUUAAAAUGGAAAAAUACACCCAAAAAAUUGACGUGGCAUAGAGAGUGUGUACACUCUCUUGAAGGCAAGUGAUGAGUGAAUAAAUUGGACACAUGAGUUAUACUGCAAUAGGACCCUAGUUAACUUAAGAUAUGUCGUUGGAAUUUUGGUCACAGUUCAGAGAGGUACUUAUGCCUUAUCUCAAAUAUGUACUAUUUUGCAUUUCCAACAUAGAAAUUCUUGGGUUUUAUUUUACUUAGCUUUUGAAUUAAUUUUUUUAAGGUAAAAGAGCCUGAUAUACCCCUCAACAUUGUCAUUUAGAGCUGAUAUGUCUCUCGUUAUGAAAGUGGCUCUUAUAUACCAAGUGAAAAAAUUAAUUUUAAAUUUAUUUUUGACUUUUAACCAUGUAGGGGUAUAUAUGACCCUUCUAGCAAAGUUUAAGGUAUAUUUUAAUCUUUUUCAUACAAAAAAUGUUUUUAAACUUCUUUUAUUAUCAUUAUUUGAGUUUCUUUUUCUUAUUUUAUUUUUUUCUUUUAUUCUUUAGUGUAAAAAAAAAAUAAGUUAAAACUAUUUUUUUGGUAACUAUAUUAUAAUUUAAAACGAUUUUUUCCAGCUAUAUUGCAAUUUAUUUUUUGUAUUUGACAAAAAAUUGGGCCAUCUAUGAUAAAUUUUACAAGAAAAUUAAUGAAACAUAAAUAAAUUUGACCAUCAAAAUAAUAAAUUUAAAUUAGUCAUUGGAACAAAAAAAGUCAAAAAAUAAAUAAAUACGUGUGAUGAAGAUUAAAUAUUCCCAUAUGGAUUAUAUAUAUAUAUUUUUUAAAAGUAAUUAAAAAUUAAAUUAAAAUUAAUUUUUUUCACUUCCGUUAGAGGAAAAGGAUAUAUGUGAGCUAUUUGUAUAAUAGUAGGGGUAUUUAUGAGUCACUUUCAUAACGAGGGGUAUAUCAGCUCUAAAUGAUAAAAUUGAGGGGUAUAUCAAACCCUUUUCCUCUUUUUUAAUGUUACAUUUUAGUAAAUCAAGAUUAAAAAUGAAGAUAUUCAGGAAAGGUGAGAAUGACCUCCAUGACGGACAAGGUGAGGAAGGUGAGAUUGAGAUGAUUCGAAUAUGUGAAGAGGAGAUGCACGAGUGCCCGGUGAGGUGGUGCGCGAGGUUGACUAUGGUGGAUAAUGAUGAGGCUAGGGGUAGGCCUAAGAAGUAUUGAGGAGAGGUGAUUAGUCAUGACCCAACACACCUGCAGCUUAUCGAGGACAAGAUCCUAGAUAGGAGGAUAUGGAGAUCGAAGAUUUUGAUAUAAAGUUAUUAGGUAUAAGUCGAGCGUUGUCACUACAACAAAAAUAAUUUUUAGCAGCAAUAAAUAUGCACAUUCACAAGAGUGUUAAAGUCUUCACCAGUAUCAGUUAAUUGUCAUUGGAUCCAAUGUAGCUAUAGAUUUUAGGAACAUUUACAAAGAGUGUUAAUUGCCUCUAAAAAAUAUGUUUUGCGGCAAUAAGUUAUUGUCGUUCACUAAUUGAAGCUAACAAUCAUUUUUGGUGUAAUGUGUCUACUUUUCAUUAUUACUCUCCUACUAUCUAUAUCUUGAAUUUUAUUAUCACUUAUUUUUACUUUGCUUCAGUUAAUGUAUUAUUUGAUAUUGCUAUUGUCCUCUCUUUUCAUAUUACUUAAUUUUGAUAAGUUUUACUUGAAUCGAGGGUCUAUCGAGAAGUGAAAUUGUUUUGUAUGAAUUCAUGUGUAGAUAUUGUCCAUUAGUUUCUAAUUAAACCUUUAGUGCUGAAAUGCAUGCCUAUCUCGCAUUACAAUAAAUGGUGGAUUCUACUUCUUCUCAAUGCCAAGUUAGUGGAAAUUGUUCAAAUUUCACAAGUAUGAUAGCUUGACAUACUUUUGCUAGGUUAACACCAAUAGUAAUAUAUCACAAGUUUUAGUUUAACUUUUAGUUUCUUGAAUUUUUAUGUCGCAAGUUUAAUAGUGUAAGAGAAUAUUUAGCUCACAUUGUUAUUACACUUACCUGAAAAUGAAGCAAACUAUCAUCAUUCAACCCCACUUAAAUUAAUGUUUUCCAGGUGAAAACCAAUACAUCAUUUAGGAACUUUUGAAUGUGAAGUUACAACCUUUUUAAGUGUUUGUCAUCAGCCUAAGCUAAGACUUUGUAUUGUUUAGACUCGUGGCAUAUGUUCCGUUCGCCUUCUAAAACUGGAGAACACGUCCCCUGAUUCACUAUCCGCGCGUUGCAUGUCCAAGUCCAUGUCCAUAUUCCCAAUGCCUGCUAUCCUCUCACUCAUUGAUCCAUAAGAAUUUACUGAACCAUCUCCAAUUGGCUUAACAUACUGUUGCAUCACCAGCACGGAGAAUGUGGAGUCGAAUUCUGAUGUCACUAAAAGAUCACCAAUAGCCCCGAGCUCAGGACAGUCACACCAAUCGACUAGGCCAGCUGUUAGUGGUGAAACCACACCUCGGCCUUUUCCUACGAUAUAGAGAUCAUAGUUAUGCUGAUCCAUUAGUUUUAUGGCCUUGACAGCUUCUUCCACAUCAUUCAGCAACAGUUCUAUGUAUGUUACUGAUUUGUCAUUGGCUGUGCUGAUCUUGAACCUGUUUAAGAACUCGUCGUCCAUCAACUUUUCACUCUCUUUGUCAAUCUGGACAUUCACAUGACUUUCAUCAGCAAAUUCCGUUUGCUCUAUAUCAGAAGCACCUUCGUCUGGAAUGAACUUUACAACAGUUAGGCGUGUAUCUGGACGAUCAACCAUUCUCAAAGCAUAAGCUAGAGCUUCCCUGUCAUCAGCACCUCCGAAAAAGAGGACAACGAUAUUUUUUGCAUAGUCACUUGUUUCAGAGAGGCCACGAUCGAUGAGGAUUCCCACAGAACAAGGGGCAUUAGCUAGCACACCUUCGUUGACAGCCCGAAUUUCAGGGUUGACAUCCUCCAUUUCACCCUCGAUACCUCGUUGUUUGUGGAAAGGUAGAAUGAUGAAAGCUACACGCUUAUCUUUGGCAAUGUUGCACAUAUCUUCAUCCAUGGUGGACAAAGCAGACCUUGCUGUGAGUACUUGUACCAUCACUCCAUCUGAUCGUAGCUCAUAGUUGUCGAAAGCAGUGAUGAUCUGUCUUGUUUGUGUCUCCUCGUGUCCAAGACUUCGCGAGCCUCGUUUCCCUGAGUUGUGUACUUCUAGCAUAGAUGAUCCACGCCCGACUAAUUCUACUACUUGGAGAGCAAAGACAGUUAUUGGGGAUGCUGGCGUAGAAUGUGACGAGCCAAGAAGGUUGAUGACUGAAGGGAUGUCAUGUGUGCCAUGGAUGCAAGCAAGGACCCGAAGCUCCUCCUCCAUUCUUGCCUUCUGUAUAGUCCUUCGUUUAUGGGGAGCAAUUUCCUGCGAGGGACGGUGGAGCAUAGUCAUAGGUGUGACUAUCGCCGUCAUCACCAAAAUACCAGCCACCAUAAGGGAGUACAAUUGCGUGCUCAAAACCUGGCCAAGAUUUUCACAAAGUACAAAAUGGUUAGUCGAAAAUCCAUAUCCAGUAAAACCAAAUACAGAUUGGUAAGAAAAUCAACCUGUUGUGCCUGACCAGCUUCGAUAAUGAUCAAGGCCAUGAUACUCUUGGUGUUGCUAAGUACUCCAACAGCCAGGGCCUCCUUAAUAGUCAUUUCAGAGAAGAAAGUGGCAGCUAUUGAGCUCAAGAUUUUGGCUGAAACAAAUAAAAGUAUGUAGCCAACAAUUUCGUAAAUGCUGCCCAUUUGUCCGAAAUUGGUUCUGAGUCCACAAACAACAAAGAAAGUUGGCAUAAAAAUGCCCGUCACAAAGUCAUCAAGCUUAUCGAUAAUUUCUGCUUGAAGCACUUGAUUAGGUAUACUAAGUCCAAAGAGAAAAGCUCCAAUAAUAGGAUGUGUCCCUAAAGCAUCAGUUAUAACUCCGGAAAUAGCCAUUCCAGCAAGGAUUGAACAUAUAAAGAACUCACUAUACCCUUGUCCUUCUGGCAUUUUUCUAAUGGUCCAGCCAAUGGCACGACGAAGAUAAAAGACACAGAACAAGGCAUAAGCAAUCGUGCAAAUUAAUGCCCAAUGGAUAUUAGCUGUACUCCCUGUGACAACAUAUCCUAGUGUAAGAAUAAACCAUGCACCAAUAUCAUUGAUUACAGCUGAAGACAUAGCCAUUUUCCCUAUGUCAGUUUGGAGGAUCUUUUGUUUAUCAAGUAUCUUAGACAGGACAGAGAACCCUGUUAUAGUAAGAGCACCACCAUAGAAAAUGAAGCCUCUAACUUCUUCAUCGCGAGUAAGUGAGAAAUAUAAUAUUGUUCCCAUGACAAAAGGGAUGAUGAUACCGAUAAUAGCAACAUUUCUAGCCUUUAUUCCAAUUCGAAGAACGGAUUUCAUAUCCAUCUGCAAUCCCACUAGAAACCCAUAGAACACAAGGGCUACAUGAGCCAUUGUCUCAAUAACAUGGAAGUUGUAGUUUGGGAAAAGCAGCCUCCUGAACCUCAUGAUCCUUCCAAGUGCUGUAGGACCUAAAAGUAUGCCACUCUACAAAACAAAAUCAUCAUUCUUCAUUAAACCUUUUUUUCUAUAAAUGUCCAAAUCAAUGCAUAAUAUCUAAACAGACACUCAAACUUAGCCUUAAUUCGUCAUGUAUAAGUUGAAGUGUCUAGAUGUGCACUCUCAAAGUUAGAGCGCUUACUUACCAACUAAGGUCAAGUUUGAGCAUCUGUUUAUUCCUAAGUACACAAAACAAGAACAUGAAGAAUUAAACAACAUUUUCCCUGGAGUGUAACGCAAUGCUUAGGCUAAAGUUACCUUUAAAAGGCUACAAUAUUGCUGGAAAUGCCACAUUUAAAAAAUGCAUCUCAAAUUCCACAUCUUAAGAAUGUGUUUGAUACGACGAAAGAUUCAGAUACUAUAAACAAAAUUACUGCAAUCCUAACGGCAGUCAUUUUCCCCUUCGAUGAAAAUGUUUUCCAUAUAACCAAACAUCAAAGAAUAUUUUCUCGUGAAAAACAUUUUCAGAAAUAAUGAUUUUUAUCGUAUCGAACACACCCAAAUGUAGAAGAAAAGGACUCCCUUACUACAAAACACACCAUAUGUCAUUUGGUUGAGAGUUAGAAAGGUAGUUAUUCAUGUAUUAAAACUAGCAUAGUUAAUAUCAUAUUUCAUAACUUUUUAUUGAUUUCGCAUAAAACUCCAAACACAUCAAGAUGAAAUAACUAAUACGUAAAUAAAACAUUUACUUCAUCCGUUUCAACUUGUUUAUCUAAGUUUUGACUUGACACGAAAUUCAAUAAUGUAAAAAAAACUUUUGAAUCUUGUAGUCUUAAAUUAAAAAUACGUAGAAUUUACCAAAAUACCCUUCAAUCUUACAUCCUUAAACAUGGCACGUAGAAAGUUAAAAUUAAGGAGUUGUCAAAAAAAGAAGGACAACUUUUUUAAAACAUGCUAAAAAGGAAAGUAAAACAAACAAAAUGACAUGAAGGAAGUAUAAGUCAAUGUAAUAUACAAUAUUAUGCAGAGCAGAAGAUAAAAUAACUAAUCAUUACGUUAUUAAUACAUGCACAACUCUAAUCAACGAACAUAAGAAUCGAAAUAAGAAAAUUUCAAAGAAUAUACUUACAAUAAUCUCAGCAACAAAAGGAGGUUGCUUGGUGGGUUUUAAGACAAAGGUGACAAAACGAGUGAUCAAUAUAGCUAAUGAAACUUGAAUAAAGAAAAGAGGGAUAAUUGGUGUCAAAGGAUCUGGUCCUUCCCAAACUCCAUUAAAUCUAUAAAUUGUUUGUGCAUAACAUAGAACUUUUUCAUUUAAUUUUCCAACAUCAAUCAAUGGCUCUGGAUCUGCCAUUUUUGCCUUUCUAAUGUUCAACAACAACAACAAUAACGACAACAAAAAGAUUUUUUCCCUCUUAAAUCACAAAAAUUGUACAAUCAAAAUUUGUACAUUAUUUUUCUUGAACACCCUUUUUUUGUUUUGUCUAGUCUUGUGCCAGGACAGGGAACAACCCUGGCUACAACCCUAUUUUGAUAUUUAGCCACCACAACAAAUGGAGAUAUGUAUAAAAUGGAACAUGAGUAAAACUAAAGAUAUGGUUGUCACCAUGUGAAAAAUAGUAAAAACUUGUUUCUUUACCAACAAAGCUUUGUUCAAAGUGAAUGGUUUUCCGCUCAAUUUGGAAGCUUAAAACAUUUUUUAAUUUUUUUGAGGUUGUUAUUUGACAAAAAAAAAAAAACUUGAAUUGUUGUCAAAUCCAACAUACAAAUAUAUAUAGUUUGUAUGUAAGAUAAUGUUAUGAAGAAAAAAAAAAACCGGAGAAACAUUUGGAGUUUUAGGGACAACCAGCCUGUUCUCAAGAAUUUUCAUAUUUACUAACGGAUCAUCGGGUUUCACGGCCCAAUUAUUUGAAUUUGGAUACCUAGACCGAGUUUACACUAAACCGAAUUUAUAGGAAAUAUCCAAGCUACCAGAACAAUUGAGAAAUUCAAUAAAAGAUUAUGCACAAGGUGAAGGAGUCUACUGCAGAUUCUUUAGCAUCAGCAUGGAAAGCAAAGACUUGCAAUUAUAUUUUUCAACGAUUAAUUAUAUCAUAGUGGAAAAAUUAAGAGAAUUCAACGUUAAAGCAACAAGUGUUGAUAAAAAACUUCCACACCUAAAUAAAAAAUGGAUACAAACAAGACGAGCUUUGGGAAUUAAAGCAUUAUAUUUUAUUCUCAAACGUUUAUCUGCAAGAAAAUUGUCACUUCCUUUAAUGUAUUCAAUUUUAAAAGAGUAAAAUGACGAUAGAACCAGCCAUCGAUGUAAUCUUCUGUACUGAGGUUCAGACGGAAGUUUGUUGAAUAUUAAUCCUGAUACUUGAGUAUUGUCGGUUCUGAUAGUGAAUUGUUUUGGUAAAAGAAAAGUAGAAAAUUUUCUUAUCCCUCUGACAAUUGCUAGUAAUUCCUUUUCGUUGGUUAAAUAUUUUACUUCAGCUUCAUUGAAUGUUCCGCUAGUAUAUCUACAGAUUUCAUUUAAAUCUGUAUGUAAUAAUGCACCCCAAUGAUAGUCGGAGGCAUUUGUUUGUAGAAUUAGAUUAUCCUUUUCAUCGGGUAAUCUGAGUUUUGGCAAUUUGGAGCAUUCUUCUUCUAAGUGAUGCAGUAUGGGAUACAACAACUCAAUACUGAACAAACGGAAAACAUGAGUGAAUUUUUACUCUUGUGUGAAUAUUUGGACACUUGUCCAAAAAGGAAUUCAAAUCCUAAAGGGAAUAUCACUCCCAACAAAGUGGCAGGAGAUGUCCCACUAGCACCUAGUGCCAAAAACAUCUCAUCGGUAAGCACGGAUAUGCCGAAUCCUAAGUCUAAGGACGAAGGAAAAAGCCGAGCAAUUGAGAAAUCAAAAGAAGUCACUUCUUCUAAAGAAGAAAAAAGCACAUCUUCAGUAAAAACUGGAAAAAAAAUUCUAAUAUUUUUAAGAAGAUAUACAGAUCUCAAACAUUUGUGCUACACGUGUAUUUCAAGCUAAUUAAUAGUAACUUCUUUAAAAUAUUAGAAUAAAUGGAAGAAUGCAUGUUUAGCUUAGACAACACUACUUAUUAUUAUUGCAAAAGCACAAAUUAAUGGAUAUUCUUGAUUCAAGAGAGAAAGAAACGUUUAUUAGUAAUAUUGUUUUCUAUCAUUAUAACGUUUAUUUCAAUCAUUACUAUAGUCGGUAGUUGUACAAAUAUUCUAAUUUUUUUUUUAUAUAAUCUUAAGUGUUAUAAAAUAUAAGCUCAGAAUAAUAUAAUAUAAAGAGAAGAAGACAAGAUAUGUAGAUGCAGAAGAUGACUUUUCUUCUAUUCAAGUGUGUCCUCCAAAUGACGAAUGAUAUCUCUAUUUAUAGUGUUGAGUUAUCACUCCCAAAAGUCACCAAACUAGUAGAUACAUAGUUAUAAAAAAAUGUUCUUAUCACCUUAAAAAUAUACAUACAUUGUAUGAAUUCAAUUAAUUCUUGAAUAAAUCAAAUGAACAAUUCAUAAUUCAAUGGAUUUAUAAGCAGUUUUUCUAAUAUAUCAAAUAUUCAGCUUAACCAUUUUCUUAUUUUAUAAUAUUUCAACAACUCAGUUUCAAUGUGAACAUCCACAAUAUCGUUUAUGAUUACAAUCUUGAGAAAAUGACCAAAAUGGUCCUUGAUGUGUAAGUAAUGCUUUAUCUUAGUUUUUAAUAUAUUUCACUCGAUUGAAAUGGUCCUUAACAUAUAAUAAUGGUGUUUAUUUUGGUCCUUAAUUAAUAUAUUUUACUUGAUUGAAAUGGUCCUUAUUGUAUAGCAAAAAUGUGUUCAUUUUAAUCCUUUAUCUUAAACUUAACAGAUUAAUCAAAAUAAAAGUGUUAAAUUUAACUAUGGACCCCGCAUGGCUAAUAAAAUCCACCAUUGUUGUCUUCUUUGUUAGCUCCAAACAAAAACUCCAUGAAUCUAACACCAUUAUAUUUACUUUCUCUAACAAAAUUUACUAUUUUCUCUUGCUUAAAACAUAAAUGGGUAUAGGUCAGUGGAAUAAUAUUUUAGGAAAGAGAAAAUAGUAAAUUUUGUCAGAGAAAAUGGUGUUAGAUGUUAUGUUGUUCUUUCUUUGGGGCUAACAAAAAAGAUAACAAUAGUUGAUUUUGUUAGCCACGUAGGGUUCAUAGUUACAUUUAAUACUUUUAUUUUGAUAAAUCUGUUAAGUUUAGGGUAACAAACCAAAAUGAACACUUUUUAUUAUACAUUAAGGAUCAUUUCAAUCAAGUAAGAUAUAUUAAGGACCAAAAUGAGCACAUUUGUUACAUUCACAUUAAGGACCAAAAUACAAUAGCACCCAUACAUUAAGGACCAUUUUCUCUUCAAAUCUUCAUGUCUUAAAGUUUGUCCGUUGUCUUGAAGAAAAUGUAUUCUCCGUUUUAUUACAUAUGUAUAUAUAUUAAGAAGUUGGUAUUGAAUAAAAAUAGUAUUUCAUACAAAUUGUAGAGAAAUUUUAUUAAUUAAUACAUGUCUUCGUUUGAAUGGCUAGUAGAUCAUGUUAAUAUUAUGGUAUACACUUACAAAACUCUGCAUAUGGCGGAAAAAUGACACUCUAUUCUCUUUCCUACCCUCCAUGCACAAGCAUAGUAGUCAGCUUGAAACCUAGUUUUCAUUGCCACUCCGACCACUAAUCAACAUGCUCCGAUGGCUGAUCAGUUUAUUGCUCUAGCCUCUACAUCUCAACUACUAACGAAAAUAUUCUUCUCCAUUAAAUAAUAAAAUAAAAAGAAAUAUUUAAGAAGAACAAUUUCACUAUUUAAUUAAAAGCAAGAACUAGGAUAAUUUUCAACAUCAAAUAACUAAAAAAAAGUAGAAGAAGAACUUAAAGAAAUAUAUGGAGUGCUUUGCUUCUGCGCCUUUUUACUUCUUUAGCAGCUCAUUUUCUCGUGUUAUUUAUAACAAUUCUCUGAAGAUGGAAAUCAUAUUUUUCUCUUAAUUUGUCCACUUUCAUGUUGAGAUUUUUGACAAAUUUAAAAUAAUAAAUCCAAUGCAUACCAACAUUUGACAAGUUUUCUUUCCAGCUUUUCUUUUGCUUUGUUUUCCAAUUUGAUGGGUUCAAUGCUACUACAAUUUUCAACUUUUGUUUUCCAUAUUUGCUGCAUCUUCCUUUAAUUUAUUUCUUUCUUAUUUUUUUUUUCUUUACCUUUUUAGCUUGUGGGUACCAUAAAAAGAAAAAUGUAUCCUACUCUUUUUCAUAUUUGCACAACUUCUCGUUCCUAUCUUUCGUAAUUCUUUAAUAUCCUCAUUUGUGUUGGAUAAUUUCUUGUAAAUCAGCACUUGUAUUUGUUUUGCCACAUAUCUACUUAGUUGAUGUUUUCUUGUUGUAUUGCAAUAUUUUCUGUAAAGAAAGAUUAAAAAUAUUAAUAUUAAAAUUAAAUAACAACUUAGUAUAUAUAUGAUAUUUUUCUCUUAUCAGGCAUCUUGAUUGAUCCAAACCCCCUAUAAAACUAUCUUAGAAAACAAUUUAGUAGUACUCAAUUCCACUUAUAAUUUUUGGUUUCAACAAGAUUAGCUUAUACAAAAUGCUAUUCUAGAAACUGUGGAAGAGACCAUUGACAGUACAGUCACUUGUGCUCUAAAUGUAAAAGUCGCUUGGGACGCCUUGCAUUCUGCUUUUGCAAAUAAAUCUCCAACUUGUAUCUUUAGUUUUAGAGAUUGUCUAGCCCGUCUUUCCAAGAACUCUCAUCUUGUUGCAGGUUAUCUCCAUCAAGUUUGGUCUCCUUGUGAUGAACUUGACAUUGUUGACUCCUCUGUCUCCAAUGAAGAAUUUGAUUAUCAAGAUUUUCACUAAUUUUGGAUAUGAAUUUUAAGAAAUUUCAGAUGCUAUUCGUGCUCGAGAUGCGGCAAUACCCUAUGAAGAGCUAUUUUACAAGCUCAAGGAGUUUUUUCCUUCAGCAUGAGGAAGAUAAAAAGAUACAUUCUAUUCCAAUCACUGCCAACAUUGCUCAAGGGACUACUUUCACCCUUGCAUAUUAGGGAUCCACUAAUAACCAGAACACUAAUCGAUGAUCAAAUGCGCAACAUCAAAAAAAUCAUAAUUAAUCUUGGUGUAAUAGUUAGCAACCUUAACACAACAAACAACCUCAAUCGUACUUAUAAUUUCUUGUUUUAACAAGAUUAACUUAUACAAAUGUUAUCCUGGAAAUCAUGUAUGUAACCAUUGAUAGUAUAGUCACUUCUGCUCUAAAUGUAAGAGUCGCUUGGGAUACCUUGCAUUCUUAUUUUGUAAAUAAAUUUCGAACUUGUAUCUAUAGUCUUAGAAAAUUUCUAGCCCGUCUUUCCAAAGAAUCUCAUCUUGUUGUAGGUUAUCUCCAUCAAGUUCGAUCUUUUUUGUGAUAAACUUUCCAUUGCUGGACCCCCCGUCUCCAAUGAAGAAUUUGAUUGUCAAGAUUCUCACUGAUCUUGGAUAUGAAUUUUGAGAAAUUUUAGUUGCUAUCCGCGCUCAAGAUUCGAAAAUACCCUAUGAAGAACUAUAUGAAAAUCUCAAGGAGCUUUUCCUUCGAUAUGAGGAAGCCAAAAAGACACAUUCUACUCCGUUCGUUGUCAACAUUGCUCAAGGGACUACUUUCAGCCCUACACAUCAGGGAUCCACCAAUAGCCAGAACACUAAUCGAUGAUCAAAUGCGCAACAUCAAGAAAAUUAUAAUUAAUAUUGGCAUAACAAUCAGCAACCUCAACACCAAAAUCAACAAAAACAGUCUCCCAACAACAACCUUUACUAUCAACUCUGUGAUGGUAGAGGUCAUACUGCUCGUUUCUGUCGAACACACUCUCACAAUUAUCUUCAAGCGCGUACUAAUUAUGAUGCACACCUCCAUAAUUAAUUAGUCAGUUUCGUGAAUUAUUGACAACGGUGACACCCAUCAUAUUGCCUCAAGACACAUAGAGUCUUGUAGAAUUUUAACGUCUAGGAUUAGAGAAAUCAAGAAUUGUAUUGAUGAUUAAAAUUGUUGAGUACAUGCUCUUUAUAUAAGGAGAGAAUCGUAGAGGCCUAAGUUAACUAUACUUAGAGUCCUACUACAAUACCUAUUACUAAUAUAAUAAUAAUGUAAUUAUAAAUAAUCUAAUCCUAAUCAUAAUAUAAUCCUAGUCGUAAUCUAAUCCUAGUUUACUUCAGCUAGUACAAGAAGUAAAAGCCUAGUGGAUAUAAGUGGCCUAAACUUAGAGUGACUCUAACUCCGUCGUACACGUUGAUUUGAUCAGGUUGUUCAACAUGUUCUGUCUUUAGUUUCCUUUAUAUCCCAUACUUCCCCUCAAGCUAGAGAGUAGAGGAACGAUUACUCCUAGCUUGCUUCGAAAACCCAACAAAAACUUAUUUUGUCAAUGCUUUGGUAUGAAUGUGAUGUCAAGUCGUUACUUGUGAUAGUUCAUUUGUAGAUUGAUAUGAGUAGUCCCACCAGUAAAAACACUUAAGAGUAGUAUGGUUAUUCCUACCACAAAUUUGACAUGACUCAAUAUUGUUCCUCUCCUUAUUUUUACUUGGGAAACUUUGAUUGUUCGGAGAACCUGAUCCAUACUGACUGUUCUGAGAAUCUGUUCCAUGUCCAGUAGGUUUGAGACCUCUUUCUCUGGAGUUGAAGUUGUUGUUUCUUAUUCCCCCGCCUCUUUGGGCAGAGAAUACCAUGUUAUGGUUUUUUUGUGGCACCUCUUCUUCAUCUUCUCUCAAAUCUAAACCCCUGAGAACAUUAAUAAAUUGAUUAAGCGUGUUAUAUGACAUCUUAUCUAACAUGACAAGUCCUGAAGGUCUUGUAUUUGAUACCUAAACCUCUAGAAAAAUUGAUUACUUGUUAUCUUCAUCCACAAGUUUGUGAAUGGCUGCAAGGCCAUCACAUAUGCCUUAGAAUUUUUUGAUGUAUUCAUCAAUAUUUUUGGCUCCUAGCUUAACACUUUGUAGUUAUUGUUUAAGUUGAAACUCCUUAUCUUUUGUUGCUUGAAGAUAAGCUUCUUCUAAGCAUUUCCACAUCUCCUUAGCAGUUGAGCAGCCCACAAUUAGGUACAUGUUUUCUUCUAUCAAGGUGCCUAAGAUCCAACUCCUUAGAAACAUAACUUUCUCUUCCCGGUCAUCAAUACUGCCACUAUUUUUUGCAUUCUUCUCAACCGCUACAACUUUUCCAACAGCCUAGUCUUUCUGACUUCCCGAGUCAUCAAUGAUCAUAUCACAAUAUGAUUUUGAUAUAUUUUUGAGAAAGAGUUUUCAAGUAUGAAUUGAGUAAGAGUAUAAGGGAACUAAGUAAUCCCAAAUGUAUCAGUUUUUACAUUGAUAAAAGAGAAAGAUUGAUUUCCAAAUGAAUUAUGAGUUCAAAAGAUAUUUCAAGAGCAGUUACCUCUUUUAAGAGGGCAGUUUUGAGCAAUUAUCUCAAACCAGAGGAAGAGUUAUGUUUUUAAACAUACGAGCAUGAGUAUAUAUUAUUGGGAGUAGUAUUAAGCACUGAUAUAGGGACGAGUUCAGACAACUCAAAAGUCCUCCAUAAACCAUGUAUGCCAACAUGGGUAAAGGGUCAUACUUUUUAGAUGAUUCCUUAUUUCUUUUUAAUUAAGAAUAGCUUAGUGGAUCCAUUUAGUUGAGGUAUUCUAUACCCCGACAAGGUAUAGGAUAAUUCUGACAGCGUGAGCGAGACGCUGUAUCAUCACAUAGCUCAUAGUGAUUGGUUGUCGGUUAGAGAAUCUCCCAAUAGAGUUAAAAUGUAUUUUUAUAUAUCACUUAUUAUGUUGAGUUCAGAGAAGAGAAAGUAUUUUAUAAAACUUUAAAUGAUUUAACUUCUUUAAUCCUUUACAUCCAGAUGAGUUUAUAUUCUAUCUAUUGCAGUCCUUUCAUUCAGUUAUUUAUUAUUCAACUAUAUUACAUACUCGUACAUUCAAGGUACUGAUGUCAUUCGACCUGCAUCUUUUAAUGAUGCAGAUACAGGUUCUUAGGAUCCUCAACAAGAGCCCAUUGAGAUCACUUUCAUCUACUCGUCAUCUUUUGAGCAAGACCUCCUUGCUUCAGGAGGACUCCAGUUUUAUGAGUUGUUAGCAGUAGUUUCCUUGAGGAGUCGUGUGUCUUGUACCGACACUCAUCUUUGUAUAGUAGAGGCUUCAUAGAUAGACAGUUUUGGAGAGUCUUUCAGUUUCAGAUGUUUUAUUUAAAACUUAUGUUUCAUACUUAGUAUAUUUAGUUAAGUUUUGAGAUUCAGUAAACUGUUUCAAACGUUUCUUUCAGUUUGAUGCUUAUGUAUGCUUGAGUUAGUCUUCCGCUUGUAGUCAACCAAGAUGAGGGUUCGCUUGGGGACCAGCAAUGGUUCUCGAGUGCCGGCCACGUUCAGGGUGUACGCUCGGAUCGUGACAAACAAUCUCUGCUCUUAUGCAAAUGAGAACAAAUAUUGGACCUAUUCCAAUCAAAAAAUAAUUUUCGAUAUAACAAGUUUGCAUUGUCUUUUCGCACUUAGGAAUCUCAUCAAUUGAGAGAUGAGAACAUGUGGUGAAGUGGAUUGAGAAAGAAAUGAAUCGAAUGAAUAUCAUUGAGAAUUUACAAUAUGCAAUGAUUGGUAAAUUCUUACGUGAAUGAUCGAAAUUCGAAGAUUUCAACAAGAAAAUCUUAAAAUAAUGUGGGAUCAAAGGUUAUGUCGUAUUGGUUUACAAGUAUUGUAUAACUAAAUUUAUUAUUAUUUUUAGAUAUAAUACAUAUUUACUUGAUCUAUUGUAUCAAUUUAAUAACUCUCAUUUUCAUCAAUUAGUAUACGUAGGUAUUACAUUUAUUUUUAGCUUUAGUUUCUAUUUUUCUAUAAUCUAUUCAUUUCAUAUGUAUUUUGUGCUAUACAACACAAGUAUACUAAAAUCAAAAGAAACACAUUAUUUCCAUUUAAAUAACUAUAAUAUUACAUAUAUCAUAAUUUCAAUUACAAUACUCAAUCUUCUUAUAUGCCAUGUCGUCUUUAGUGUUGGCACAACAAACACGUACAAUACACAUACAGUGAACUAGUUUUAAUAAACAAACUUAUAACUUAAAAUCCAUUGCCCUCUCAGAAAUAAAACUACUGGUAAAUAAAAAUUUUAAUAGAAAAUAUAUAUAAUAUAUGUACUUAAAAUUAUUCAAAUAAAAAAUAGUAUUAUAAAUUUAAUUUAUCUGUUUGAUUCGAAUUCUUUUUAUUUUUGAAAAUAAAAUCAGAAUCUGAUCAAGCACUAUCAGAUUCUUUAAAAUUAGUAUCAAGUUAAGCUAAAUCCCCAAAAAAAAAUUAAUUUAAAUAGGCAUUUGGACUUGCGAAUUGCGAUAUGAAAUCACGAUAUAAAAUCAUAAGAUGAAUUCGGACAUAUAUGAUUUCAAUUUGAAUCGAUUUUUAUUCUGAAGCCCUAAUUAUGACACCAAACUUGGAGGAGACAUACUAAAUUUUAUUUUAUAUUAAUAUAUAUAGAUUGUGAUUUGAUAAAACAUUCUCUGUAGCUUUAAGCCUUUCCCCUGCAUCCACAUUGUUGUCAUCGAAACUCCACUAACUACAUCUUUCCUUCUCCGGCGGUAACCAUGCAAGCUAUCCAAUCUUCAUCUCUCCGGCCAUCUCCGGUCGACCCAUUUCUCAAAACCAUACCCCAAUUCACCAAUGUAAAGCCAUUGAGACCCAAAAGAACCCCUUUUAUCUCAGCUUCAUCCACUACAGUUUCAGCUCCGACAAGGGAAAAAGACCCCAAAAAGCGUGUUGUUAUAACUGGGAUGGGUCUUGUUUCUGUGUUUGGGAAUGAUGUUGAUGCUUAUUAUGAUAAGUUAUUAGCUGGUGAAAGUGGGGUUACUCUAAUUGAUCGAUUUGAUGCUUCGAAAUUUCCUACUAGAUUUGGUGGACAAAUUAGAGGCUUUAAAGCUGAUGGUUAUAUUGAUGGUAAGAAUGAUAGAAGGCUUGAUGAUUGUCUCAGGUAUUGCAUUGUUGCUGGGAAAAAAGCACUGGAAAAUGCGGAUCUUGGUAUCGACAGAGAUAAAAAGGUUUUGAUUUCAUGUUUAAGUUCUUGAAAUUGCUUUGGUUAUCUUUGAGAUGAAAAUGGGGUUUGAUGUGAUCUGUUUUAUUGGUAUUUUGGCUCAUUACAAGGGAAUUUAUGGGUUUGGAUGCUUACAUAUGUAUAUUUUUUGGUUAAUCUUUUUUGUCUCUUAAGCUUUUGAAUUUGCUUUGGAGUUGUGUGAUAUGUUUGAUUGGUAUUUUUACUCUGUUCCUACAUUUUGUUAGUAGAAUUAGAGAAGGUAACCAAAUGAAGGAGAAGUAUCCAUGUCUAGCUUUCCUCUAAUACAAUGGUAUCUUUAGCUAAUCCAUGCCCAUCAACAUUUACUGGAAUAAUACAGUAGAUUCUAUCCGGUGGAAGGGACAUCUCAAAGGUGUCUUUCAAUCAGUGAUAGAGUUUUUUAGUCUUGGAAAAAGAUCUUCUUUAGCAAGGGUCCUUUGAAGGUCUCCUGCUUCUCUUGGAUUGGGGCUAGGGAAGCUUGUCUCACUCAUUCCAACCUUCAAAAGAGGAGUUUUUAGCUUUUCAGUAGGUGCCCAAUGUGUGAGGAACACUAUGAAGAUGUUGGACAACUCUUCUUGCAUUGUAGAGUAACUAGUCAGUUUUGGUGCAUGUUUUUGGCUAUAUUUAGCUUGUCUUGGGCCAUACCAAGAUCCAUUUUUGAGCUACUGCAAUACUGGAACAUAGUGUGGUUGUCCAAGGAAUUGCGAAAGACUUGGAAUACCAUCCCUCAAGCUGUUUGGUGAACUGUAUGGCUUGAAAGAAAUAGCAGAAUUUUUUAAAGGCAACAGAAGGAACAUACAUAGCCUUAAACAAAGAUGUAUAGUCUUGCUAACUUUUGGUUCAGCCUGGUUAUUGUACAUGAUGCAGAUGCAAUCCUAGAUACAAUAGAGAAUUUGCACAAUCUGGAAUUACAUUUUGUGGUACUGGCUUAGUGCAAGUACUUAUGAAAUCCUUGAUUACUUAUUAAAAAAAUUGACAAAAAAUGGACCAAACUACUCAGGUGUAGCAAGUUAUGUUUAGUUUAAUAUAUAUAUAUAGGUGGAAUGACCUGGGAGACCCUUGUACUUGGCUCCGUUUGUCAGUUGAACCUCCUACUCAUCACUUUGCCAACCAAACCCUUAAACUCAUCCGAACACAAUAUUUUAAACCCCUCUAACCAUUGACCUAGCUUAUGUGACAUUAAUAUUGGUGAGUUGGAAAUAUGUGUGAAUACACGUGCUUGAAAGCGAGUUAAAACAAUAUUUUGCUUUUAAAAAAAUCAAUUAACAAAAUUAAAAAAUAAGAUUCAUCCUCUUCAACCCUCCUUCACCCACUUGCCCACUCACCCACGACUUUCUUCUCCUCCACCAGCCCUCUCUCCUCUACCACAGCCCUCAACUUUCUUCUUUCUCCAGCCCCACAUUCACUCUUCUCCGCCUCUUCUUCUUCUUUUUUUGUAUACAAAUCAGUAGCCUCAACUUCUUCUAAAAUUUUCAUUUUUUAGGUUUGAAAAAUAUUAGUACCAUUAUUUUAUUUGAUGGUUUCAACGAGGAGAUGUGGAUAAUCUGAAGGAUGAUUGUGACUAUUGAAAAUUUCAAAACUUCAUUGAUAAGCUUGAAAAAGCUUAAAAAAUAAUAAAUGGGUCUUGUGAAUUUGUAAAAAUAAUAAAUGGGGUUCAUUGAGUUUGUGUUGGUGAACUUGUAGUUGAAUUUACAAGUUAAAUCGAGAAGAAUUGGAUCUAAUGGGUAUGAAUUUAGUGCUCAAUUUGUGACCAAAUAUGAAGAAGAUGACUAUUUGAAAAGUUUAAGAAAUUAAAAAAUUGAUCUAUUUGAUUUUUUAUGUUUUUAGCAAUUAAUUUCGUACGUGGCACUAAAAAUGAUGUGGAAUUCCACGUGUAAUCGCGUCCAUUACACGCACACUUACCGGAGGAGAAAAGGGCUUAAAAUGUUGUGUUCUGCUGGCUUUAAGGGUCUAGUUGUCAAAGUAAUAAGUAUGAGGGUUCAGCUGACAAACGGAGCCAAGUACAGGGGUAUCUCAGGUCAUUCCGCCUAUAUAUAUACGAUGAUUCCAGCAACCCAAGAAGUAGCUAUUGUCUUAAAGAUCUACUUAAGAUUAAAAAUAUUACCUUUUCUCACCUUUUGAACAACAAUAGAGGUGUAUAUUUUCAUAGGUCUCUUACGUCAUGAGCUAUAUGUUAAGGGGUCGUUUGGUAGAGUGUAUUAGAAUAAUGCUAAAUAAAGUGUAUAAGUAAUGCUUGCAUUAGUUAUGGAGAGAUUAUUUCUUAUGCAUUGUUUGGUUUGGUGUAUUAAAAAUAACAUGUGUUGCAUUAUUUCUAAAAAUAUAUUUAUUUACAAAAAUACCCUCUACAGAUACAUUGGAAAAGAUGUACAAAAACUUUUUAGGGGCAAAUGCGUCUUUAACUAUGCUAAUGCAUGCAUUGAAAGCACUUGCAUUACUAAUACCAUGGAUUUCCACGUAUUAGUAAUACACACCUCAAUACACAAUAGAGUACUAAUACACAAAGCUGAUGCAUGUAUUAUUUUUACUAAUACACUCUACCAAACGAGCCCUAAAGUCUUUAAUUUAUUUGUGAAAGACCAGAAUGAUAUUAUAAUUCUUCAGCAGUUUUACUGGAUUUGUUCAAUAAUCAAAGUCAGCUGCCUCCUCAGUAUGUAGAGAUUUUCCAUACAAGCAGCACAUAUUGUUAACAAAAUUAAUUGAGAGUAAAAAUUUCCCAGUGACCUCCUGACAGGAUGGUCUUCGAAUAGUUGUUGUUCAGACAAUCUCCCACUGCAUGUGUAUGGUAUAUGUAGUCCUACGACUAUUUUAGAUAUGUUCUCAUAUAUUGGUACUCAUUGAUGUCUCCCUCGAUUUCAACUUGGUGUCUCCAUUGUUUUAUUAAUCAGCCAUUUGUAAUUAUAGGUACUACAUCUACCUCCACUAUGCGGCUACCAUAAAACUUGUUCUUGAUUAGCAAACUAAGGCAAUGGGAGCCAAGAUUGGAGUUGAGGCUCCAGUAGAGCUUCCUUGGAUUCCUUAUUCUCCAGACUAACCUUCUUACUUUCCGCUCUUUCCGUGCCUUUUGGUAGCGGACCAUAUGCUUGCUAGUUAAUUGGUGCUAUUAUUGUCCAUGAAUCUCCCCUGAAUUUUAGAACUUCACACCUAUAUAUCGUCCAGUUUAGCUUCUAUGUUUUUUUAAUAUUUGAAAUCUACGGAAUAUGGAAUAAACCCAGUUGUUGUGAUGUUGGAACUUCACUUCAUGAACAAACUCUCUGGUCUCUUAUCUUCUGAUUUUGUGCUUUGACAUCUUUUCAUAUUCUUUUUCUGCCUAAGCUUUCUGUGAGUGGGUUAAAAUAGUCAAUACUAAUGGUCUUAGCAAUGAAACAUUGUCCGCUGUUGAUUCUUUUAGUUACUGCAUUUGAAAAUCAUGCUUACUAGUGGACAAACCUUCUUUGUCUGGAUUUGUUUCUCUUUUCAAGUAGGAAAGAGUUUUAAGUUCUUUAGUUCUAUUUUGACUACAGAUUGAUAAGGAGCGAGCUGGUGUUUUGGUAGGGACAGGAAUGGGUGGUCUUACAGUUUUUUCAGAUGGCGUCCAAGCCUUAAUCGAAAAGGGUCACAGGAAAAUUACUCCAUUUUUCAUACCAUAUGCCAUAACAAAUAUGGGUUCGGCCUUGCUUGCAAUUGAUGUUGGUUUCAUGGGACCGAACUACUCGAUUUCAACUGCUUGUGCUACCUCCAACUAUUGUUUCUAUGCUGCUGCAAAUCACAUCCGUCGAGGUGAAGCUGAUUUGAUGAUAGCUGGUGGAACUGAAGCUGCCAUAAUUCCUAUUGGGUUGGGAGGUUUUGUGGCAUGCAGAGCUUUGUCUCAAAGAAAUGAUGAUCCUCAAACUGCUUCUAGACCGUGGGACAAAGAUAGAGACGGCUUUGUUAUGGGAGAGGGAGCUGGAGUGUUGGUAAGUUAGCUGAAGUGCUUAUUAAAGUUUGAUAACAUGGACAUCCUCUAAGCUAUCUAUCUUUGUUGGACCAAUGUUUUGUGUUGUCCUGUUUUUUAACAAUUGAUGUUUCUUUCCUUCAUGAACUAAUUAAAUAUGUUAAGAAAAUGAACCUUGGGCUUAACUCAACGCAAAGCUAGUUCAUGAGGUAGGGAUUGCCUAAGACUACAUAAGGAGACAACAACAUAUAUCCUCCAACAGGAACCCCUUGACAUAAACUCUUUUUUUUUUUUGAAAAAAUCUUAAGUGCUCUCUCAUUGCUCGGUGGAACACAGUUUUGGACAAAGCACUGCCUUAUCGUAUCACUCUCAUAUAACAUGAUCACCUUUGGGAAUACAUCAUGACAAUUGGAUGGAGUUGUUGACAGGUGAUGGAAAGUUUGGAGCAUGCAAUGAAACGAGGAGCACCAAUAAUUGCAGAAUAUUUGGGUGGUGCAGUAAAUUGUGAUGCACAUCACAUGACUGACCCUAGAGCUGAUGGACUUGGUGUUUCUUCAUGUAUCCUUAGUAGCCUUGAAGAUGCUGGAGUGUCACCAGAAGAGGUAUUUUUGGUUCUCUUCGUACACUCAUUUGAUGUUCUACUUUUGUUAUGUCCACUCAAUAGUCAAGAAACAGUAACUGGGCUGCAGGAAAGAACAAAUUGCUGUAGAUUUAGACAAUAUAUAUUAGGUCAUAUCUGUUGUCCUUCAGGCACUAAAUCCAACAUUUGUACUUCCGUAUUCUUCAUUUCAUGAGCUAUUCAUCAUUAAGUAAAGCGUAAUGGACAUAGAAAAUGUAGUGCUGACAUCAAUAAUAUGUUUUAUCAUGAGACACGGACCUUGUUUGAGGCUUUUACUUUGUACACUUCUUCUCUUGGAAAUGUAGGACUCAACAUUUCUUAUUUCUUCAUUAGUCUGAAAGAACACUUGUAGCAUCUGAGCUUGUUCUAAAUUUCCUUAGCAAUAUGAAGUGCCUUGUUUUUUAGAUAAGUAUAUAAGGUUAUUAUAUGGACAAUAUGGGGAAAUCUUUGUACAUAAAUAGUGUAGAAAGUGAGCAUUCUAACAAGAAAGCCAGAAAUAGGGCCAAAGGUAAGGACCACAAAGUUAUACCAGAGAAGCCUAAGCAUACAACAUAGACAGGUGUCCCUUUAUGUGAAACGAAGAAUGGAGCAAAAAAGGAGAAAAGUUGCACACAACAAAGAAUUUUGUGCUAGAAAAUGUACAAACCAAAUUGUCCUCUGUCCAUUUUAUGUGAAGAAGAGGAUGUUCUGAAUGUGCAUCACUGAAUUUCUUCUCCCUCAGAGGUGCACCUAUUCCUUUCCUUAUACUUGCAUGUGGAAUAACAUUGCUGACCCUCUUUCUAUUCUUUCUUAUUACGGUUGUGUUUGGCUAGCUUGCGCAUACCUCGACUAAUUCCACUAUGUACUUGCUAACUCCACCAACACAAGUACCAAAUAAUUUUGCCCAUCAAGACUUUGGCAGAUGGGACGAAGCACCUAUCUAUUGCCUCUAAACUCCAGUUUUUGGAAAAAGGGCCACACUACACCCAACAUAACCCAGUUAAUUCCCUGCACAAUAACAUUAGAGUAGUGAAUUCCAUAAUUUGUCAACAAAUUUGCAGUGUAGGAGUAGAUGGCCUACUUCUUCACCAGCUUCUUACACAAGCAAUAAACAAUAUUCUCUCGAUCGAUCGAUUUAAUUCCAGGGUAAAUGGCCAGCUUCUUUACAACAUAAAAUAAUAAUCGAUAGAAGCUCUACUUCUCUUGUUUAGGCUUGAAUUCUGGGAAGCUGUUUGUUCAAACUAUGCUACUUCCUAGAUUUGUUGUCCUAACAGUUGCAUGAGAGAGCCACUACUGACCCUUAUCAAAGAAAAAAAUUGACAGAAAAUGUUUUAGACACAUGCUUCCUCCCAUUUUGGCCUCCCUUCCAGUAUCCUGCAAAUUAGGAGAAUAUAUAACUGCCAGGAGUUCUUGUUCCCACUCCGCCAAUUAAGAGAAAUUUGAUGAAUUCAGUCUUGAGGAAUUAUCUUCUCUUCACUGGUGAUCCCAAAUAAGGAUAUUUUCAUGCUUUUCCACCAUUAUCUAGCAUGAUUAGUAGAUACAUCUUAGAUAUUCAUAAAACUCCUCCAUAAAGCUAUCCUAGAAAGGCUAGUGAUGUUUUAAAUUUUCCUGAAUGUUGUCCUCAGAUAUGUCCCUAUCACCUUUCUUAACAAAGCCUUCUCCUCUACCUCGUUUUCUCCACGAUCAUUUCUCAAAUAGAGCUUUACGAAGCUCCUUAACAUCCCUCAUCCUCAAAUUAUCAACCUUAAUAGAUGUCAUUCACUCACUCAAAAAUACUAUGAAUUUUCUGUACUUCCUUUAAAUCCCGCAAAAGUGUAGUGUUAUCAAAGGCGAAAAGCGUAAAAAAGCUCUAAGGUCCGUGGGGACUUUAAGCGCAAAGCGCAAAUAAAGCGUGGGCUUUAAUGAAAAAAGCUCAACAUUAGUAGUGCUAAUUUUCAACAAAUUGCAUUAGAUGAGAAAACUAAACUAAAUUCUAAGAAAAUAUAAAUAUCUUGGUCGAGAUAUUUAUAAAAAGAGAACUAAAGAUAUCUUGGUCAAGAUGUUUAUAAAAAUAAAACUAAAAAAAUCUUGGUCAAGGGAAAAGAAAUGACCAACAUAUCUUUAUUG